rnacentral:lncRNA from 1 species
UUCAAACUAUUACACAGAAGUCAUUUACUGAUUAGCUGCUUGAACGUGGAAAUAUUUCGGCAUAUCUUCUCUUAGGUUAAUACGAGAACUUGGCUCUGCUCGUGGUAUAGUCGAGGAUGUACUUAUACUACCCUAAAGAGGGGUCAAUUAAUGGGGUGCAUUUUCUUAGGGAAAUUCUAGGCAAGAACUUGAAUCACAGGGUUUGUUACUCGCAACCCAGCAUUCUUUAUCUUGGCAUAGAUUGGUGUGAUAGGGCACGUGGCGUGAAAAAGUUUUUUUUCUUUGACCGGAAUCAACAUGUGUGAACCCAUCUAGGUUGAGUCAAACAUAGGGGGAAGGUCCUCUUCAGCUUUCAUCUAGGUAGGUGUAUUAUUUUACAUUUUCCCAACAGGACAUUCAUUCAUUUAUUUCUUCCCGAAUGGAGUCAUUAUAUACCUUAAUUUUAUUAAGGAUCUUCCGCAGUCUUAUUUCUUUCACUCUUGCUCGAGCCGGAUGAUGAUAAAUUCUCAUGUCUAGUUCCUUUGGGGGAUGGAACCUAAAGAGUUCACAUAUCCCAAUAACAAAGAAACCACACUUAAAAGAUCUUGUAUUAAUAGCUAAAUUAGCUAAAGGAUGGGACAUAAUUAUUACGGGGAACUUGCAUGGCCCAACGAUCUUCUACGCAUACAUGGACGUGAGCUAAUAAUGAUCAACAAAUGAUCUUGAUCACCUACUUACGAUUCAUAUAUAACCCCACUGUGUCCUCUCUCGGAUACAGAUCUCGCGAAAAGAUAUAGUCACGGUUAUACACACAGUUGACUCAUACGUUUCCAACGUAUCUAUAAUUUUUUAUGGUUCCAUGCUAUUAUCUUGUCAAACUUUGGAUGUUUUGUAUGCCUUUUAUAUCUUUUUUGGGACUAACUUAUUAACUCAGUGCCAAGUGCCAGUUCCUGUUUUUUCCGUGUUUUUGACCCUUUUCAGAGGAGAAUUUUAAAUGGAGUCUAAACGGAAUGAAACUUUCAAAAAGAUUUUUUCCGAAACAGAAAAAAAUCGGGGAACUUGAGAACCAAGGCAGGGGGCCACGAGGGACCCCACAAGCCCCCUAGCCGUGGCCAGGGGCGCCGCGCCUCCCACGCUUGUGGGCUCCCUCGGCCACCUCUGCCCUAGGUAUUUCGCCUAUAUAUUCCCAAAAAUUCCAGAAAAAAUCAGGAGAUCAUUGAAAGUACUUUUCCGUCGCCGCAAGCUUUUGUCUCCGCAAGAUCCCAUGUGGGGCACGUUAUGAUGCCCUACCGGAGGGGGAUUCGGAUACCGAGGGUUCUUCAUCAACACCAUGACCUCUCCGAUGAUGCCUGAGUAGUUCACCAUAGACCUACGGGUCCAUAGCUAGUAGCUAGAUGGCUUGUUCUCUCUCCUGGAUCUUCAAUACAAAGUUCUCCAUGAUCUUCAUGGAGAUCUAUCCGAUGUAAUCUUCUUUUGCGGUGUGUUUAUCGAGAUUCGAUGAAUUGUGGAUUUAUGAUCAGAUUAUCUAUGAAUCUUAUUUGAGUUUCUUCUGAUCUCUUAUAUGCAUGAUUUCAUAUCCUUGUAAUUCUCUUCGAGUUGUGGGUUUUGUUUGGCCAGCUUGAUCUAUGAUUCUUGCAAUGGGAGAAGUGCUUGGUAUUGGGUUCAUACCGUGCGGUGACCUCACCAAGUGAUAGAAGGGGUAGCGAGGCACGCAUCAGGUUGUUGCCAUCAAGGGUANNNNNNNNNNNNNNNNNNNNNNNNNNNNNNNNNNNNNNNNNNNNNNNNNNNNNNNNNNNNNNNNNNNNNNNNNNNNNNNNNNNNNNNNNNNNNNNNNNNNNNNNNNNNNNNNNNNNNNNNNNNNNNNNNNNNNNNNNNNNNNNNNNNNNNNNNNNNNNNNNNNNNNNNNNNNNNNNNNNNNNNNNNNNNNNNNNNNNNNNNNNNNNNNNNNNNNNNNNNNNNNNNNNNNNNNNNNNNNNNNNNNNNNNNNNNNNNNNNNNNNNNNNNNNNNNNNNNNNNNNNNNNNNNNNNNNNNNNNNNNNNNNNNNNNNNNNNNNNNNNNNNNNNNNNNNNNNNNNNNNNNNNNNNNNNNNNNNNNNNNNNNNNNNNNNNNNNNNNNNNNNNNNNNNNNNNNNNNNNNNNNNNNNNNNNNNNNNNNNNAUGAUCAUUGCCUUAGAUAACGUCAUGACUUUGCGCGGUUCUAUCAAUUGCUCGACAGUAAUUUGUUCACCCACCGUAAUAUUUGCUAUUUUGAGAGAAGCCUCUAGUGAACACUAUGGCCCCCGGGUCUACUUCACACCAUAUUUUAAGCCUUACACUUUUACUUCGUUGCACUUUCCGCCUUCAGAUCUCACUUUGCAAUAAAUCUUGAAGGGAUUGACAACCCCUUUAUAGAGUUGGGUGCAAGCUCUUUGUGUUUGUGCAGGUACUCUGGACUUGACGAGAUUCUCCUACUGGAUUGAUACCUUCGUUCUCAAACUGAGGGAAAUACUUACUGCUCCUGUGCUGCAUCACCCUUUUCUCUUUAAGGGAAAAACCAACGCAAGCUCAAGAGACGACAAAAGGUUUCUGUCGACGUAGCAUUGACAUAUUUCAAUUAAGUUUACUUCAAGUUUGCUAUGGUCGGGUAUUGAAGAAAGUUUCCAAGUUGCCACAUAACCGCGGGAACGGCUCUCAGGAAGAUUUUAACCCUGCAGGGGUGCUCCAACUAGUCCAUCACAAACUACCACAAGCUAUGUGGAAUAACCUCAACCACAAAAAACCCAUAGUCUCCUCGGAAAUUCCGAUGGAAAACCUCGACCUCAAGAUAGCCCAAAGUAUCCUCGAAAUCUCGCGCACAAGACGUUCGACAAAGCUAAAGCAAAUCCAGCAAGGCUGCCCGGCAUGCCAACAGACCCGAUAGGAGCCAUGUAUCUCGUUCUUAGGGCACAUUCGAAUGAACUAGACGUAGAGUUGGCUGAGACCAUAGGUGACCAGGGGUGUUGGACAUCGCUCGGUUUGGACCAACACUCAUGAGGAGCACUAGCCGAGGGGUUGAUUAAUUAUCUGCGGGUGCUGGUGGGUCCUAUGCUUUUUAUUAGUUAUUAGGUAAAUGUAAUACCAAUGUUGGGCUUUGCCAGAAGAGCUUUGUCCCAAAAGAAAAAUCAAGGAGGUCCCCAUAACAACCCCAAGCAUGUUAGGAGCUCUCAAUUAUGGAACAUAACACCGGUACACAAGUAACUAGGGAGGCAAAAAUGGAACAAAACGCCGAGCUAGAAGGCCAAGCCAUCCACCUCUUACCAAUUAUAUAGCUGCAUUAAACCAGAUAGCAAUAAUAUGAUGGUAUACCAAGGAGCCCAUGUUUUCAAAUGGAAGCAACUUACACAUGCAACUAGCAACACUAUAAGAAGGGCUGAGCAAACGGUAACAUAGCCAAACAAAGGUUUGCUGGGAUGUGGAGGGGGUUGUUGGGGAACGUCGCAUGGGAAACAAAAAAUAUUCCUACGCACACGAAGACCUAUCAUGGUGAUGAUCAUCUACAGAGGAGAGAGUAAAUCUACAUACCCUUGUAGAUCGCUAAGCGGAAGCUUAUAUAACGCGAUUGAUGUAGUGGAACAUCUUCGCGAUCCAAAUCGCAGCCCGUCCCGCGAUCCCAUCAUGAUCCAUCCCGAUCUAGUGCCGAAUGGACGGCACCUCCGCGUUCAGCACACGUACAACUUGAUGACGAUCUCCGCCUUUCUUGAUCCACCAAGAGGGGCGGAGAGGUAUAUGAAUUCUCCGGCAACGUGACGUCGUGCCGGUGAUGGUGGCGGAUCUAUUCCAGUAGGGCUUUACCUAAGCACUGCUGAAAAGCGAUCUAGAGGAAGAACUAUGAUCUAGAGGAGAGGGUAGCACGUGGCUGAAAAAUCUGUGCAAAAACCCUCAAAAACUCUAGUAGAUAUAGGAGGAAGGAGGUAGGAGGCUUUCCCACCAAGGGAAGCCUCCCUUGGCUCGGUCGAAGCAAGGAGGGAAGAGUCCUCCUCCAAUUCUACUUGGAGGAGGACUCCUCUCCCACUUGUCCACCUCUUUUGGAUUUUCCACCUUUUUCUCAUGGACCUUCUUUGGUUGAUUGGCCAGCCCAACAGGGGCUGUUGCGCCACCCUAAAGUCCAUGUGGCCCUCUCAGGGAGUGGUGGGCCCACUAGGUGGACCCCCGGAACCCAUUCGUCACUCCCGGCACAUUGUCGGUGAUGUCCGAAACUUUUCCGGAAUCCAAAUACCAACUUCCUAUAUAUCAAUCUUCAUUUCCGGACCAUUCCGGAACUCCUCGUGAUCUGUUGGAUCUCAUCCGGGACUCCGAACAACAUUCGGUUACCAACAUGGCAACAUCAAUAAUUCAGUUAUACCGAAAUGUCACCGAACCUUAAGUGUGCAGACCCUGCGGGUUCGAGAACUAUGCAGACAUGACCUGAGACACUCCCCGGUCAAUAACCAAUAGCGGGACCUGGAUGCCCAUAUUGGCUCCUACAUAGUCUACGAAGAUCUUUAUCGAUUGAACCUCUAUGUCAAGGAUUCAGUUAAUCUCGUAUGAUGUUCCCUUUAUACUUCGGUAUGUUACUUGCCCGAGAUUCGAUCGUCGGUAUCUCCAUACCUAGUUCAAUCUGGUUACCGACAAGUCUCUUUAUGUGUUCCGUAAUAGAAGAUCCAGUGACUACCUCCUUAGUCACGUUGCUUGCAAGGCUUAUUGUAAUGUUGUAUUAUCGAGUGGGCUCCGAGAUACCUCUUCGUCACACGGAGUGACAAAUCCCAGUCUUGAUCCAUACUAACCCAACAGACACCUUUGGAGAUACUUGUAGAGCACAUUUAUAGUCACCCAGUUACGUUGCAACGUUUGAUACAGACAAGGUAUUCCUCCGGUGUCCGGGAGUUGCAUGAUCUCAUGGUUAUAGGAACAGAUACAUUGACAUGCAGAAAACAAUAGCAAUAAACUGACACGAUCAUAUGCUACGUUCAUAGUUUGGGUCUUGUCCAUCACAUGAUUCUCCUAAUGAUGUGAUCCCGUUAUCAAGUGACAACACUUGUCUAUGGCCAGGAAAUCUUGACCAUCUUUGAUCAACGAAAUAGUCAACUAGAGGCUCACUAGGGACAGUGUGUUGUCUAUGUAUCCACACAUGUACAAUUAUCAUGAACAAGGAAAUAUAAUAAUAACUAAUUUAUUAUUGCCUCUAGGGCAUAUUUCCAAGAGGGGUUAGAAGCUUUUCAUGGCAAUGAUGGGAGGCAUGACAUAACAGGUGGUAGGCAGUGAGACAUAGCUAUAGAACUGAGACAACUAGCAUAUCAAUGAUAGUAGUGGUAUCUAGGGAAAUGAUCAUAUUACCCGAGAUCCUGCUUGAAAGAAGAACGAAUCCGUGAAGUAGACGAACCAACAUAGUCGAAUGAAUCCUCACACUCUAAAGCGGUUUCGGAACUCCACCGAGAAGAAAUAAUCCACAAACAAACAAUCAACACACGAUAAACAUCACAACAUAUUCAUGACAUGAUGUGCAUGCAAUUAUGAUGCAUGUUUAUUUAAUUAUGCAUACGUCACAACACAACAAUCAACUUUACACAUUAAGUGAAGCUCAAUAUGCAACGAGUUAAAUAUUGACAAAACUUCAAUUUUUGUAUUAUUUAAUUCACUCCCGUUUAGGUACACUAUAAUACUAAAUGUUCUUAAACACGACUAGAGGUGAAUCAUACAUAAACUACACUAUCUAGGCAUUUAAAUGAGACCGAAAACAACUUAUAGUAUUUCCAAAACGACACGAUAUGUUAAUUUAGAAAUUGGUCUAGAUAUGUACUAAACACAUUUUAUAUUUAUUAAACAGCAAAAUAAAAUGGACUAUGCAAUUAUACACGUCAUUUUAGUCGAUAUAUAUAUAGAUAUCUAAAAUGAAGGUACAGUCUAAAAGAUAUGAUCCUCACAAGAUGAAUAUGUCAUAAAUGUAAAAUGUAUGUAAAUAACAAUCACAAGCAUUAUCAAUCAUAGAUGCAAAAAGAUAUUAUGAAACUGCAUGAAAUUUUAAACAAGUUUAAAUGAGGCCGGAACAACGAAUAAUAGUUCCGUAAAAUCCUCAUAUGCAAAUUCAGAUUUUGAUACUGUUCUUCCUAUAACAUAUUUCUAGAGUUAAUAAAGAGCAAAAUAAUAAACACCAUAUUAUUCUACGCAUUUUUCUAGUCAUACUACAUAUGUGAACCAUUUUAAUCAGAGCUACAGUUAUUUAACUAGAAAAUAAAUCAUUUUAACAUGGUAUUUAUGCAAAUUAAAUGAAAAUAACAAGUUAAACAUUUUAAACAUGGUUGGAUGUUAUGAAUUAUUACUCUACACAAAUUUUUAGUUGUUUUACAUAUAUAUAAAACAUGUUAAUUUGAUGCACGGUUAAUUAAUUAUGAGCAUUUUAAAAUCAUGCAUAUUUUUUGUCUAAUUAGCAUGCCGUGGAAAUUAGACAAAUUGCAACAGGGAAAAAAGAUAAUACGCGAGCUAAAUCUGUUGGGCGUAGCACACAAAAGGGCGUAGCGGGCGAUGGAUAGACGAUGGCUGCUCACCUCGGGGCCUUGGCCCGGUCGGUGAUGGGUUCGACACAGAGCAAGGCGAUGGGCCAGGAGGCGCUACGCGCCGAGGUGAUCACUUCGGCCUGGCACAGUGCUCGGCAGCCCAGGAGCAUGCAGCGCUCGGGCGCUCGCUUCGUCCUCCUCGCAUGCCGCACGAGGCACGAGUCACGACGCAGCGGGGCGCGAAGGUCGCCGGGGCAGGGGAGCGAGCAGAUCCGGUCAUGGGAUCCCCGGAUCCGGCUUCGGAGGUCGAAGGGGCGUCCGGCGAGGGGGAUCUCUGGCCGGCGGCGGAGCUUCAUGCGGCGCCUGCAAGGAAGGAGAGAGAGAGGUUACCAGAGAGUGGGAGAGAGAGCGGGUAGAGGGAGAGAGGAGGAAGAAUGAGAGGGGAGAAACGGGGCGACAGGUCCUGCAGGCCGGCGCUGCUACGGCGGGUCACCGGUCGCCGAACGGCGGGGUCGAGCUGGUGCAUCCAUGCCCUCGUUUUCGGGAGGAGUAAGGGGGCUCAGGCGGCUGGCUCAUCUAGCUGCGUGCGCUCGGGCACGAGCGAGUGAGCGUUUGGGACGAGCUGCAGCUACGCGAGGUGCUCACGGCAACGGCGAGCCGAUUGGACGGGCAUGUAGGAUGAGGGAGGAGCACGUGUAUGGCCCUCAUCUGCUGGUCCUGCGGCAGCGCUGAGUGCUCAUGGAGGUCGCGGGGAACUCAGGAUCGAGCCUCCUGCUCGAUCUGAGGUGGGAGUUCGGUGGUUGGCUGGGUUGGAUCGAGAGGAGGUGGCUGCAGUGUUUGGUUGGAUGGAAUUGACUGGGAUAAUCCCAAGGAGGAAGCUUCGAUUGGGUAAUUUGGUGGAACGGGAGGGAUCCCGAGGUGGAAGAAGACCCCGUGAUUGGCUGGCGGCACGAUGGGACAAGGUGCCUUGUGAUUGACUUUGCAAUAGGUCAUAUAUGUACUACGUCCGUCACACUUUAUAAGACACGUACGUGUACUUAGGUCGUCAAUUUGACAUAUAUAAAAUGUAUUGUUUAAUAUAAAAAUUAUACCAUUAGAAAAUAGAACAUCUAAAUUUUUUAAUGAUAUAUUUUUUAUAAUAUAUGAUUAUCAUUAAGUUGGUCAAAUUGACGACCUAAGUAUACGUGCCGGACUUAUAAACUUAUAAACUGAGAUGGAGGAAGUAUAGUGAAUUAGAACUAGGUUGGACAAUUCGAUUUACAUUAGACGAUCAAAAAAAUAGGUUAGGAAGUUAAAAUGAAAAAUGAAUGAUGUUUUGAGAUAUUAUAGGGUUGAUUCAGACUCAAUUGUCCCAGCCUGAUGUUUCGGGUUCGGGGAAGCUAUUGGACGCGGGCGAGGGGUCUAUGCACUCUCUAGAGAGGGGUAAGACAUGAGAAGAGAGGAAAGACGGGCAACCUGACAAUAGUUUUUGAAAAUCGAAAUAACAAGUGUGAUGUGACAAAAUAUAGUGCCGCUAUAGGUGUAUGGGUGUCAAACGACAUCCGAAUGCGAUGAAAUUUGACAUGCUCUCUACAUACAUCAAAUUAAAAUCGCAUGUCGAGCCAAUGCGAGAAAGUUUCAUGCACACUCUUAAAAACAAUAUUACAACGAUGCCAUGGAUUCAUGCGUAUGCGGUUGGUCCCGAAAUGGUCAAUGACAGAAACAAAGAGAACUCACAACUAACAACGGUUGCAAGUUUUGAAAAACAUGAUGCAACAGAGUGCCGAUGCAAUGCGGAUGAUGCGAAUGAUGCAAUGAUGAAUGCAACAACCACAUAAAUCACACAGCGAUAACGAAAUAAAAAAAGGGAAAUCUUGUGGAGCGACGGUUCCGGGAUGUUACACUCUAGGCACAUCUCCUUGCUCCAAAUCUUUCCCCAAUGGCCAUACCAUGUGUGUAGCACUUGAAAAUAUUUUUACAAAAUAUUAAUUUGAACAAAAAGCAUUUAUUUGAUUUAAGCUUUCAAAACCCCUUGAAUUGAGGUUUGUACUAUAAGUCCUCAUAUUGGGAGAAAUAUUUUGCCCCAAAUAUUUUAUUUGGCUCCUAUUAUCAAAAGGACUUCCCAAAACCACAAAAUUAUUUUUUAAAAGUUAUUUUGCUAUUUUAAUUGAAUACCUUUUUCUGAGGCCAGAAAUGAUCUCUUGUAGGGGGGAAUUAUUAUUUUUAUGCUUCCAAAAUAUUUGAAUUUUUUUAUGGAAACUCAAUGGACAUAUAUUUUCCAUAUAUAAGAGUUUAAACACAUGGUCAUGUUCAAAAUAUUGGACAAAUUACUUCAACAAACCUUUAUGUCGAUUUCAAGCUUUUGAAAUAUUUCUAUGAGAAAUAUUCUCAAAUAAUUCAAGUAAAAUUCUAGCAUGUCACAAAUCUUGCCAAGUUUCAUCUCAAUCCAAGUUGGUUUGAUUCAUCAAAAUAUUCCAAAACCCUCUCUGUCCAUAUCCAAAUUUGAGCAACUCUACAUUGCCAAGUUUCUCAUUUGGUUCUCAAAUCUUGUGGAAUUGUUCUAAUACCCUAAUAAUGGAUCCACACCAAGUGGUGUAUCAAGGAGAACAUAUCCACUUUCCCAAAUCCACUAAGAACCACUUUUGAUGAUUUUUUGAAUUGGGAAUAUCAAGUUUCUCCAAUUGAUCCCAAACUUUUUGGGCAUGCUCUAACCCUCAAAUAAGGCCACCACACCAAGUGGUGCAUGAGGGUAAAAAUUGCAUGGAUGGAUCUAGCGAAAGUUGUCUGCCCAUUUCUAGGGAUUAUCAUGUUUACAUGUCAACUUUCUCCAAUAAAUCUCAAAAUUGGUGAACAGUCUUAGUUAUCCCAACUAUUUGAUCAUGUUAAGUUUCACACCAAGGGGAGCCCUUUAGCUAUUCGAGACACCCAUCAAACACCUUCUUACCAUUGCUCUUGCUCAAUAAUUGAAGGGCCAGAGGUGCUCUCCUCGAGCCGAAAUUUUUACCACAGCCCUCCUAAUCACCCUUUACCUCCAGUAGCAAUCUCAACACCUAGCUCCAUGAUUGAGAGGGUAGAACCUCCACUUGCACCAAUGGACAACAUUCUUUUCUCUCCCUCUCAUCUUAUCUUCUCAACCAAGGCACCCCAGGGCAUCCCGGGCUAUGUGGGAUUUGUUUACUCCCUCCUAGGAAUGGUGGACAAAUUUGGCCAUGCCCAGAAUGCAAGUGGCAUCGCCUGGCACGCAAAGCUCGUGCUCUAGAGCAUGCUACAAUGCCCACCCGCACUGUAGCGGCCUCCAUUCUGAGCCAUCGGGCGGCUUUGGGCAGUGAGAUCGUGUCUCCCGAGGUCCCAUCGACGUCCUCAACCCGCCACACAAUCGCGCCCGUCCUCCCUUGCCCUCCUCCUCCCCAAAAGACCUCGCCCGAGGAUCGCCCGUGGACUCAUUCCAUAGUGCACCUCGCCCUGACCAUAUAUGGCGCUCGCGAGCUCACUCUCGCGUGGAUGCAGCUCCUCUCCCUUCUGCGCAGCUCAUGGACCAGCCCCCUUCCUCUUUCAUGCCCGAAAACCACCCCAUGGUCGAAGUUGUUUCGUUGGCCGUGGAUCAAAAUUGGCACCCCUGGUCUCUACCUUACCCUAUGAACUUCACGAUAGCGCCUCCUCUCUCCCACACUACUCCCCUGAGCCCCACUAACUCUCCUCGCGCUCUUAGGGUCGUGGCCAGCAACGUCAGCGGCAUCCUUUGGCAUGGACGAAGCCGUGGUCGACCGCAACCACCCCGAGGGCCAAGGGCCACCUAGUGAGGUGCAUCACGCCCUCCUGAGCGCACCUCUAGCGGGGGCGCCACCGGAUGUGGCUGGUGCCGCCGGUGGAAUGCCGACGCUGCUCAGCUCUGCCUCCCCCGCUCCCUGUGUGCCCGAGCGUGAGGUAAGAGAAGAACCCGCCGUGCAGGCCCCACCUGUGAGUCGCUCAGCGAGGCUGGGCCUCUAACAGGUAGGCCUCGCCCGUUUUAAGUGGAAGCGGCUUUGGCCAAGAUGUUUCCCAAGGGCGGAAACCUAUUCUGCAAAAUACGACUUCAGUGUAUCCUCUGAGCCACGUGGACGAGCCACUCGGCCGGCCUAGUGGUUAUCUAGCGCCCAUGGCGCAUUUUUGCCGUGGGUAAAAGUCCUCUUUCCUUUUUUCUUUUUCUUCUGGCGAAGGAAAUAAUUCUUCGAAAAUUCAUUCCAAGUCCAAAUUUGAUGAUUCAAAGUCCUACUGGAUUCUAAAAUUAUAUCCUAUCCAAAUAUGUGCAUUAGACAUUUUUCCACAUAACUUUUCUGUAGAGAUCAAAUUCAAUUUUGAAUUUGAAUUAUUCAAACCCCACUUUGUAAAAUUCCUAGACAGUCCAAAUCAACCCCUAAUGGAGUGUUUAUAAAAUCAUCACCUAUUUUUCUAGCCAUGGCUAAUUUUUUUUCAUGCAUUGUUUGUGCUAGAUAUAAUAAAUAUCCCCAUAUCCAUUUAUUACAUCUUAUUAAAUCUCUAGGGAAUUCAUACCAACUCCAAAUCUAUUGAAACCACUUCCAAAAGUCUUCUAAAAUCAUGCCCUAUUAAAUGAGUGCCUCCACUCAUUUCUAAGGAAAUAUUUUUUGUAGACUUCUUGUGGGGCCAGUGAUGCCUCCAUUCCACCUUUCAAAAUCCUCCGGUGAUCCAAAUCCACUAGAGCAAACUUUAGGAAUUUUUCUUAUGACCCGAGGUGUCCAAGAAAAAAUAAACUCCUACUUUGAGAGCACUUUUAUUUUUUGCUUGUUGUGUUGCUUAUUGUAGGUGUUUCCGACGAUAGUUGACAAUGUAGACGAAGUGCUCGGAAUUGGACGAGAAGCUAUUAACACCUCAAAGACUUUGUUGAACCAGGCAAGCAACCCUUUGACCAUGACUAUGAAACCCUUUUAUGCAUGUCAUAUGACACUUUAUUUCAUUGCAUCUCCAUCAUGUUGAAUCGUUGACCGCCUCGGUGGGUUAUCUCCGAUAUUUCCCCGUUGAUACUUGCACUGAGCAUGGCCCUUGUGCGGGUGGGAAGUAGUUAGGAUGCUAAGUAGUUGCUACGCAAAUGGGAUGGGAAUAUGCAUGGUGUCGGAAGAGAAACAAUUUCAAAGACUUUUUGAAAACCCCGUUGGGUGCCACUAAUGCCUGAGGGAGAUGGUGUUGAGAUAGGUAACUACUUCGGAAAGAAGUGAUGUAUCAAGACAAGUUGUUGGUGUGCCUUUUCAAAAUUGGAGAUAUUUAUGAUUUGUCGAUCGUCCCAACCUUACAUGUGCGACCACAAUACCCCUUUAUGGGGCGGGACUUUGUUGAUUACUUUGGUCGAUGCUAGUAGAGAGCCCGUAUUACUAGUGGCGGGACUGGCGUGGUUACUCUCGAUACGAGGUUUUGCCAAGUAGGGCAAGAAUGGGCUGUUUUUACAGACACGGGCACACCGUUGCAUGCCCUCAUGGAUGGUACGAUCAGGAGCGAGGCUCGUAUGAUAUACAUCAUGAGGGAUGGCACCAACGAGUGGACUCUUUGUUUAGUGUCACGAGGGUAAAUGCAUUGUUCGGGUGCUUACCUCAGGUAUGUAAUAUACCACGAGUCAUCGGUGAUACGGAAGUUCCUCGAGUCUUGUGGGUACAACGCGCAAACCUCUACAAAGUGUAAAACUAUUAGAAUAGUCACGUCGAUGGUCAAGGAUAGUUUGGUGGUGAUGCUUAAACUGUCCAGAUGUUUUGAAAAACUUGGUGUGUGAGAGAGAGAAAGAUGAUAGUGUGAGAAAUAUGAUGCUUGAGUUAAGUCAGAUGACUUUGACAUGAUAAAUCAACUUGGGAUGUUUGGCCCCUGCUAUGAUGAUAUCUAUAACUUGUUCAUAUAGAUAUCUGCAACCUGUUGAUGCAUGCUUUAACAAAUUGGUUGAUCAUGACAUUGCACUCAAAACUAGAUUUCUACGACUUACCUCCUUAGUGCUAUUUCAUGCAUUAUUAUGCCUUGUUCCAAACAUGGGUUGCUUGCGAGUACAUUGUCACGCCCAAGAUGCGACCCUAUCCUCAAUUUGGCACGAGGGCCUCGUCAGGGAUAGAAGCGCAUCUCGUCGUGUCGCAAGAAUGGAUAUCGUUACAAGUACAUGUACUGAAAAGAUGAGAUUUAUAUAUAUAUAUAUAAUUGGCUUACACUCGCCACAAGCUACAUCAGAGUCACAACAGUACAAUACAUGAACAUCAUGAAUAAGAGCAGGGUCCGACUAUGGACGAAAACAAACGAGAAAAGAAGAACGACGUCCAUCCUUGCUAUCCUAGGCUGCCGGCCUGGAACCCAUCCUAGAUCGAUGAAGAAGAAGAAGAAGAAGAAGCAACUCCAAAUGAACAAUCAAUGCACGCGCGUCAAGUAACCUUUNUGCAUUAAAUUAAAUAGCAGUUAAUAUGGUGAUAUGACAAGGGACCCAUGUUAUCACAUGGAAGCAUCUACACCUGCAACUAGCAACGCUAACACAGGGUUAAGCAAGAGGUAACAUAGCCAAUCAGUGGUUUGCUAGGUCGAACAGGUUGAAGGUAAUCAUGGCAUUGUUGAGAGGCUGAUAUUUAACAUGUGGUAGGCAACGAGACAUAACGGUAGAAACGAUGAAACUAGCAUGGCAAUGAUAGUAAUGGUAUCUGGGGAAAUGGUCAUCUUGCCCGAGAUCCCGCUUGGAAGAAGAAUGACUCUGUGACGCAGACGCACCGAUGUAGUCGAACGAGUCCUCACUUUCCGACACACUUGCGGAGCUCUAUAGAGACGGAGGAAACUGGAAACAAGCAUCAACACACGAUAUUCACCACACGAUGCACAACACAUAUGAUGCAUGAGCAGCUGAAUACAUGCAAGUCACGGCAUGACAAUCACACAAUCAUACACUACACAUUAAGUGAAAUUCAAUAUGCAUCGAGUUGCAUAUUGACAAAACUCCACAUACGAGUUAUUAGUUCUAUCCCGAUUAUUUACUUGACAAUAUUUAAUGUGAUUAAACAUGGCAAGAGGUGAAGCAUAAUUAAACUACCUAUCUAGGCAUUUUAAAAGAGGUCGAAAAUGACAUAUAGCACCACCGAGAGGACCUCAAAUGUUAAUUUACAUUUCUGUCCAGAUCUGAACUAACACAUUUAAUUAGUUGUUAAACAUUAAAAAAAAAUAGAUUCAUGUGAUUCUACGCGUCGUUACAAGCAAUUUACCCAUAGAGAACAUAUCCAACGGAGCUACAGAUCAAAAGAUACGGACGCCGCAAGAUAUGAUGGCAUGAAUGCAAUAUGUGUGCAACGACGGACACGAGCACUUCAAAACAUACAACCAGCAAGAUAAAAUGAAACUACACGAUAUUCUAAGCAAGUUUCAUAUAGGACACGAUUAAAACGGAGCUACGGUUCAACAACUACGAGCAAAACAAGAAAACACUACAAUCUGCCAAAAUCAGCCACAUAGCAUUUUCUACACCCCACAACUACGAGCUACACAUCUCCAAUAUAGUCAACCAAGACAUGACACGAAAGAGGGCAAGAAGCACUACAACAUAAUACCAACAACAACUAGUAUGGAAGCAUGGAUCACUAGGAAAAGAAGUCACAAAAUGGCUUCUCACACACAGUUUCGGACUUAGUGAAAAUAACACUUCAUGCAAGUGCAGUUUUCGAUCUGAAGCCAUAUUGACAGCAGCAAAACCAUAAGCUACAAGACUCCAAAUGGCAUGAAAAUCGACAACAUGCUGGAGAAUCCCAAAGUCUACAACUAACUCCAUUGCACCAACCUCAAAAGAGCUACAUAUCACAAGAUAGAAGCAAGACAAGACAACAACAAAAUAUAACAGAUCUCAGACUUAGAAAUAUUUCAGCAUCCCUAAAACAUUGCUAUUUCCUAGCUAGUAAAGAACAAGCAAACCACACCUAAACAUGGAUUUCUAUUGCAACCAAAAAUACCAGGGGCUAGACUAAACAUCCAAGGCCAUAUCUAUAGUUAACAACUCCUUCAAACGAAGCACGGAAUAAAUCCUACGAAAUAGACAAGAGGGCAACACGACAAAAUAUCACGCGAUCUAACUUCCAUAGGAUUUUUCAACCCCGAAAACAUAUAAAACAUGUGGGGUUGCAACACAAAAAUAUUGCCACACGUAAAUGCGAGAUAAUGUCCUAAACACGGAAAAUAAACUAGCGGCAAAUCCCUACACGCAAAAAUACCAACGACUACUCUAAAAUACAUGGAAAAGUGGUUCCUAAAACAUGGACAUUUUAUCUACGGCAUUCGAGCAAUCCGGACACGCACGAGAAAUAACUACGGAACGGAUCCUAUUGGAACAACACGUAAAACUAUGCAUUAGGCACGUCAAACUACCUCAAACAAAUAUGCAAGUUGCAAAAUCUUAUUCAACGCGAGAUUCUACACAAAAACCACAUACUACACGUCACGAUCCGACUUACGGAAUAAAAGAUAUGGACGUUUUAAUAACCGUCUAUUUCCUAAAAUUAACUAAACCGAAAAUCCCUAAAAGAAAAAAUAAUCUACCGGGCCUAACUCGGGCGUAGAAUAUCUAGACAUCGCCCUAGGCGUGAAAAUAGAGAAGUAGGGGGGGGGGCUGGUCAACUUGGGCCGGCCUGGUGCAGUGGGCUCGGGGGUCGGUGGCGGCCUGGGCCGGCUUGGGGCGAUGGGACCUAGCCUCGGCCUGGUCGGCCGGCCCCCGAGGCCUGGCAACCGAGGCAACCGAGGCGAGGCGGUAGAGCUGGCCUGGCCGGUUGCUGGGCCGCAGCGGGGGGACGCCUAGGCGGGCGAGGGGGUUGCAGGAGGUCGCCAACCCAGGCGGGAGGAGGCCGGCCAGGGAUGGCGCUGCGGCGCCGACACUGGCCUAGGCGCUGGCACAGGGGCGCAGGGAGGCCGACUGCCUCAGUGGUCGAUGUUCCCACACUCAAUCGGAUCUGGCUCGAUCCAGAUUGAGCGGGAACGGCGCCAACUGGCUGUGGUCGCAAGGCCCUCGAUCGGAGGACCGGUUGGCGGCGGCCGCCCGGGCCCGGGGCGAUGGGAUCUGUUGCGGGGCGGGGGGAUUGGAGCGCAUGGCUCGCGCUGGUUGGUCGGGAGGAGAUCCCGAGGAAGCUGGUGACGGCGGCGGCGCUGCGGGAUUUGGGGAAGGAAUGGAUGGGCAAGGCUCUGUUUGUAGGCUUAGUCUAGUUUUAAGUCUAGGGUUGGUCUAUAUAUGCCUAGGGGUUAGGUAAUAGGGGCAUCUGGACCUUUUGAUUAGAUCGGGUGGUCCAGAUAAUUAGGGUAGGGAGUCCAAUGAACAAACCGAAGACGAUUUACAGUAAAACCGGGUUGAUCUGGACCCAACGGUCACGAGUACCCGGUUUGGGUUUUGGGAGGUUUCCGGACUAGGCUACGCGUAUGGUCGGUGCACUGUGUAGAGGGGCUAGGCUGGGGAUGAGAGAGAAAACGGGCGGUGCGGCAACGCGAUUUAAAACACUGGGACACGUCCGACGAUAGACCGAAUACGGUGCCGCUACGGUCGACCGUUCGGGUACCAGACGGACUCCGAUUACGACGAAACUGGACAGGCGGCCUACCUAUAUUACAAUAAGACCGCACGUCAAAUUCCAACCCAAUCAAAGAAAGUUUUCAACACACUUUUAAAACAAUGUUUCGAACGAUGCCGCGGAGGCGUGCGUGUGUGGUUAGGCUCAGAACGGACAACGACGAGAACUGGCAACUAACAACGGAUGCAAGUUUUGAAAACUGGCGGCAGCGGGAUGCCGAUGCAAAGCAGAUGAUGCGCAUGAUGCGAUGAUGAUGCAACAACAGAAAAUAGACACACACAAAAACGGAAUAGAAGGGGAAUCUUUUGGGGCGUCGGCAUCAGGCUGUCACAACUCUCCUACACUACAAGAUGAUCUCGCCCCGAGAUCCAAGAAUGAAAGGGGGAGAGGAUGAGAAAGAACAAGAGGUAAAAACUUAGUCUCUUCUUUGGCAAACGAGUGAAACCAACGACCCUUGAAGGUUGCAAAGAGAUGAGGAAUGAUAAGAGAAACAAGCAAGAAUUCACGAAAAAUUUCGGCAACACUUCGGUAGGAAAAUGGGACAACAAGUUCGAUAAGAUGGAACAAAUAGACAAAAUUCAUAAGAAACAGCUAAAUAGAACAAAGGAACACCAUGAUCUUGAUAGAACAAGAUGCUAGACCCAAAGAGCAAUAUCACAAUGCCUCCGGAACAAUAAAAUAGGAACUAGCUCAUCUGGAAGAAGAGAAUGAAGAAAAGAAUGACAACUAUUAUUACAAUAGAAUUGAAGAGCCUCUGGACAGAAGAAUUGACGUAGUAGUUGGAAAACCAACAACGAAAAGAACAACAUAGUAGUGGGCUUAUGAAAAUCAUCUCAGCAUUUAUGAGGUGACAACCACCCACUAAAAGAAACAUGGAUAGUUGAAAGAAAAGAUAUCAAAACUUCUUAGACCAAGAGGGUACAUUGAGAACUGGGAUUAAUGACAAGCACCAUGAUAGCAACAAUCCAUAGGAAAAGCUUUAGGUAAAAACUAAACCAAGAUACUCAAUCCAAAAAUCAUGAGUUGAAAAAUAUCUCAUGAUCAAAGAAUUGGUGGAUUUAAUUAUCUCAUUCUUGAAAGGAAAACUCUUCGAGGCUCCUACACUAAAAAUAAUGCUAUAAUACCACCUCAAAGGAUAACGGAAGAACAAAUGCACUUGGAAAUGCAAGAGAAGAAAACUUGAGGUUCUCCAAUAAGAAUCUUGAAGAACACUUUGAGAAUGAAUUGACAUCAUGAGCCGCUCCAGAAGAAGAAUUCAGAUUACUAUGCACAAGAAUAAGAAUUAUGUUAUGCUUAUCCUUCAACAAGUUAAACUGAUGACAAGCAACGAGUUUAGCAUACAACUUAUUCUUCUUGAAAGAAUCUUGAAGAGAUCGAGAGAUAAGCACCACUUGUAGAAAAAUUGAAGGAAGCACUGGUAAGAAUUCACAAUUGAAUGGGAACACCAUGAGUUAAUGGAGAUACAUGAGAAUGAAGAGAUCAUGAGCCACCUGAGAGAAACUAGAACAAGGCACCGGAUAAUCGAGAGACGAACGAAGGGACAACAAUUGAGAAGAACUGAGGAUGAAAGCUGAAAGCUGAGAACGACAAAUCUUCUGAAAUGAUGGCCUUCGGAGGAUCAAGAAUGAAAACAACUCAGAAAAGCAGCGGAUAGCAAGAAAGGGAUUACUCAUGAUUGACAACAAACCAAGAUGAUAACACAAAGCUGAAAUAAUGAAUAUGCAAGAGAAUGAACCAAUAUUUGAGAGAAACACUCCUUCGAAUUUCCAAUGGAGAGAAUGAUGAGAAGAACACCACCAAGAAUAACUGAGACACUCCGGACUAAAAGAAUGAAAGGUUUAGCCGAAUAUGAGAAUUAAUUCAAAUUGAUCUUGAAGAAGGGAUAUGACUGAUGAAAUUCAUACUUGCGUCACAUUAAAAAGGAAUUAGAGAGCAUUAGAAAGAUUACAAGAACCAUAUAAGACCCUGGGAAAGAACCUGUGGGUUAUGGGCCCACUCAAAGAAACCAUCGUUGAAAAGGUUUCUCAAAAAGAGAGAUAUUGCACCGGUACAAAUGAAAACUUGAUGAGGCUGAGCACCUUGAAAUAAUUGAAAGGAUUGGAAAUAAGAACAUCUGAGAUAACUUCAACACUCCGGAUGGAAUAGAGAGAAAUGACAACAAGAAGACUGAUAAGAAUUUCCAACAUGGGAAAGAAUUAGAAAGAUGAAAAGGAUAUGCUGAACACGGACAACUAAAUUGAAUUCACUAGAAAAGAUAACGAUACUGAAUAGAGAUGAACACGAAGCUCCUGAGAAUCUUCACAAUGAACCACCGAUAAGAGAGAAAAGAAAAGAUCGCGGAAACAACAAUUAAAAGACACUUGGAUGAAAAUUGUAUCACUCAAGAAAAGGGUGGGAGCGCGGGGAAAAACAAAGACAACUUGGGACAGAUGAUAUGAACUCUAGAAUAAAUGAGAGAUUGCUUUUUCAAAAUUCGGAAAGGAUAUGAUUGACUGAAGAGAAGCACACUCGUUGGAAAAGAAUUAACAUGAAAACUCCGGUUGACAAGAAUUGAUAAGACAAUUGAUUGAGCAAAGAAUUUGCAUUCACAUGAAGAUAUGAGAACACACAUUAGGAAAGAUCUGAAAUCACCAUUUGACAUCGAAGCAACUUGAAUUACCAUAUUCCAACAAAACAAAGGAUGCGGAUUAUGAAACAAGCCAGAAGAAACUCAUGAGAAAGAUUUCCGUUUGAUAUUUUCAUGGACAGGAUCGCACUGCCUCGAACCUUACAGUAGCCAUCAAGUGCAAGGCAGUGCACCCGACAUACGAAGCGUCCCCGAGUCGUAGCAAGCUACAAGGACUCUUUAAGACACAACGAGAACUGCUGUAAGUCGACUGUCAACAAACGAAUCCACUAGAUGUCGAACCCCAACCUAACAUCAUGCAUUUGUUGAAAUAUUGUCCUAUAAGCAACUACUUGAAUUCCCACUUAAGAAUUCCCGAAAUUUCUGGUCAUGCAAUCUGGUACACGGAUACAAGGAGUAAUAAUCACACAACUCCUAUACUAACCCGUCACCUGUAUCACAUCCGUCAACACAUAACCAGAAUCUCGGACCUUCAUCUACAACAGACCCUCGUGAUUACAACGAUACAAAGUAUGGCAGUACUCCCGAACAAUCAGCACCAGUACUGGGGACAUCGGGGUUAUCUCGCCACUACUAGUAUUUAAGCAAUUCCGAACAUCCUUCGUUCUGAGAUACUAAGAAAUCUGAAUGAUAACGAUGUGCUCGAGAAUCCCUUGGAGCUCAACUCCCUGAAAGAAAUCAAGUCAGACAGGAGGCACCAAGACAGAACACCGUCACAUCGGCAUCAUAUAGAUUCCAAAAAUAUCCACGUGAUCCUAAAAAAAUUUGAGUGAGAAGAGGAGUAGAAUAAAUUAUUACGUCAAGAUUCCUCACCAAAGCAUAGAAGAGGAGAAAAAAGAAUCUUACUCUUCGAUAUAUAACUAGACUCAAAGUAGUUUUUCACUAGACUCGACUCAGCCAAGUUCCAUCAAUCAAGGGGUUCCUAGGUCGGUACUGCUCUGAUACCAACUUGUCAUGCCCAAGAUGCGACCCUAUCCUCAAUUUGGCACGAGGGCCUCAACAGGGAUAGAAGCGCAUCUCAUCGUGUCGCAAGAAUGGAUAUCGUUACAAGUACAUGUACUGAAAAGAUGAGAUUUGUAUAUAGAAUUGGCUUACACUCGCCACAAGCUACAUUAGAGUCACAUCAGUACAAUACAUGAACGUCAUGAAUAAGAGCAGGGUCCGACUACGGACGAAAACAAACGAGAAAAGAAGAAUGACGUCCAUCCUUGCUAUCCCAGGCUGCCGGCGUGUAACCCAUCCUAGAUCGAAGAAGAAGAAGAAGAAACUCCAAAUGAACAAUCAACGCGCGCGCGUCAAGUAACCUUUNUGCAUUAAAUUAAAUAGCAUUAAUAUGGUGAUAUAACAAGGAACCCAUGUUAACACAUGGAAGCAAUGCACCUGCAACUAGCAAUGCUAACACACGGAUAGCAAGCGGUAACAUAGCCAAUCAGUGGUUUGCUAGGUUGAAGGUUUUUAUGGCAUUGUUUAGAGGCUGAUAUUUAACAUGUGGUAGGCAACGAGACAUAACGAAAAAACGGUAAAACUAGCAUGGCAAUGAUAGUAAUGGUAUCUGGAGAAAUGGUCAUCUUGCCUGAGAUCCCGCUUGUAAGAAGAAUGACUCUGUGAAGCAGACGAACCGAUGUAGUCGAACGAGUCCUCACUUUCCGACACGCUUGCGGAGCUCUAUUGAGACGGAGGAAACCGGAAACAAGCAUCAACACAUGAUACUCACCACACGAUGCACAACACAUCUGAUGCAUGAGCAGCUGAAUACAUGCAAGUCAUGGCAUGACAAUCACACAAUCAAACACUACACAUUAAGUGAAGUUCAAUAUGCAUCGAGUUGCAUAUUGACGAAACUCCACAUACGAGUUAUUAAUUCUAUCACAAUUAUUUACUCGACAAUAUUUAAUGUGAUUAAACAUGGCAAGAGGUGAAGCGUAAUUAAACUACCUAUCUAGGCAUUUUAAAAGAGGUCGGAAAUGACAAAUAGCACCUCUGAGAGGACCUCACAUGUUAAUUUACAAUUCUGUCCAGAUCUGAACUAACACAUUUAAUUAGUUCUUAAACAGAAAAACAAAUAGGUUCACGUGAUUCUGCACAUUGUUACAAGCAAUUUACCCAUAGCGAACAUCUCCAACGGAGCUACGGAUCAAAAGAAACGGACGUCGCAAGAUAUGUUGGCAUGAAUGCAAUAUGUGUGCAAUGACGGACACGAGCACUUCAAAACAUAAAACCAGCAAGAUAAAAUGAAACUACACGAGAUUCUAAGCAAGUUCCAUAUAGGACACGAUCAAAACGGAGCUACGGUUCAACAACUACGAGCAAAACAAGAAAACACUACAAUCUGCCAAAAUCAGCCACAUAGCAUUUUCUACACCCCACAACUACGAGCUACACAUCUCCAAUAUACUCAACCAAGACAUGACACGAAAGAGGGCAAGAAUCACUACAACAUACAACCAACAACAACUAGUAUGGAAGCAUGGAUCACUAGGAAAAGAAGUCACAAAAUGGCUUCUCACACACGGUUUGAGACUUAGUGAAAAUAACACUUCAUGCAAGUGCAGUUUUCGAUCUGAAGCCAUAUUGAUAGCAGCAAAACCAUAAGCUAGAGGACUCCAAAUGGCAUGAAAAUUCACAGCGUGCUACAGAAUCCCAAAGUCUACAACUAACUCCACUGCACCAACCUCAAAAGAGCUACAGAUCACAAGAUAGAAGCAAGACAAGACAACAACAAAAUAUAACAGAUCUCAGACUUAGAAAUAUUUCAGCAUCCCUAAAACAUCGCUAUUUCCUAGCAAGUAAAGAACAAGCAAACCACACCUAAACAUGGAUUUCUAUUGCAACCAAAAAUACUAGGGGCUAGACUAAACAUCCAAGGCCAUAUCUAUAGUUGACAACUCCUUAAAACGAAGCACGGAAUAAAUCCUACGAAAUAGACAAGAGGGCAACACGGCAAAAUAUCGCGCGAUCUAACUUACUCAAAAGCUAAAACUAAUUGCGCAGAAAAAUCCCGAACACAUAUAAAACAUGUGGGGUUGCAACACAAAAAUAUUGCCACACGUAAAUGCGAGAUAAUGUCCUAAACAUGGAAAAUAAACUAGCGGCAAAUCCCUACACGCAAAAAUACCAACGGCUACUCGAAAAUACAUGGAAAAGUGGUUCCUAAAACAUGGCUAUUUUAUCUGCGGCAUUCGAGCAAGCCGGACACGCACGAGAAAUAACUACGGAACGGAUCCUAUUGGAACAACACGUAAAACUAUGUAUUAGGCACGUCAAACUACCUCAAACAAAUAUGCAAGUUGCAAAAUCGUAUUCUACACGAGAUUCUACACAAAAACCAUAUACUACACGUUGCGAUCCGACUUACGGAAUAAAAGAUACAGACGUUUUCUUAACCGUCUAUUUCCUGAAAUUAACUAAACCGAAAAUCCCUAAAAGAAAAAAUAAUCUACCGGGCCUAUCUCGGGCGUAGAAUAUCAAGAAAUCGCCCUAGGCAUGAAAUAGAGAAGAGGGGGGCUGAUCACCUUGGGCCCGCGUGGUGAAGUGGGCUCGGGGGUCGGUGGCGGCCUGGGCCGGCUUGGGGCGAUGGGUCCUGGCCUCGGCCUGGUCGGCCGGCCCACGAGGCCUGGCAACCGAGGCAACCGAGGCGGUGGAGCUGGCUUUGCCGGUUGCUGGGCCGCAGCGGGGGAAGGCCCAGGCGGGGGAAGGCCCAGGCGGGCGAGGGGGUUGCAGGAGGUCGCCGGCCCAGGCGGGAGGAGGCCGGCCAGGGAGGGCGCUGCGGCGCCGACGAUGGCCUAGGCGCUGGCACAGGGGCGCAGGGAGGCCGACUGCCUCGGCGGUCAACGUUCCCUUGCUCGAUCGGAUAUGGCUCAAUCCAGAUUGAGCGGGAACGACGCCGACCGGCUGUGGUCGCGAGGCCCUCGAUCAGAGGACCGGUUGGCGGCGACCGCCCGGGCACGGGGCGAUGGGAUCUGUCGCAGGGGGGGGGGAUUGGAGCGCAUGACUCGCGCUGGUUGGUCGGGAGGAGAUACCGAGGAAGCUGGUGGCGGCGGUGCUGUGGGAUUUGGGGAAGGAAUGGAUGGGACAAGGCUCUGUUUGUAGGCUUAGUCUAGUUUUAGGUCUAGGGUUGGUCUAUAUAUGACUAGGGGUUAGGUAAUAGGGGCAUCUGGACCUUUCGAUUUAGAUCGGACGGUCCAGAUAAUUAGGGUAGGGAGUCCAAUGAACAAAACGAAGACGAUUUAUAGUAAAACGGGGUUGAUCUGGACCCAACGGUCAUGCGCACCCGGUUUGGGGUUCGGGAGGUUUCCGGACUAGGCUACGCGUAUGAUCGGUGCACUGUGUAGAGGGGCUAGGCGGUGGAUGAGAGGGAAAACGGGCGGCGCGGCAACACGAUUUAAAACACCGGGACACGUUCGACGAUAGACCGAAUACGAUGCCGCUACGGUCGACCGAUCGGGUACCUGACGGAAUCCGAUUGCGACGAAACUUGACAGGCGGCCUACCUAUAUUACAUUAAGACCGCACAUCAAAUUCCAACCCAAUCAUAGAAAGUUUUCAACACAAUUUUAAAACAAGGUUUCGAAUGAUGCCGCGGGCGCGUGCGUGUGUGGUUGGGCUCAGAACGGACAACGACGAGAACUGGCAACUAACAACGGAUGCAAGUUUUGAAAACUGGCGGCAGCGGGAUGCUGAUGCAAAGCAGAUGAUGCGCAUGAUGCGAUGAUGAUGCGACAAAAGAAAAUAGACACAAGACAAAAACGGAAUAGAAGGGGAAUCUUCUGGGGCGUCAGCAUCGGGUUGUCACAUACAUUCAAAGUACUCAUUGGCUUGCCAAUGGUUAUUUUAUUGGCCAGACAUGAAAGAACAUGAUAUGAUGAACAAUACCUUGGUGACGCGCGUGCGAGCUAAGAAGCUUCCUAGUUAGAAUGCAUGUAGGGUUAAGGCAGAUGGCAUGGGUUCAUGCUAUCGUUGAAGUUUUCGGCUGCAAAUAUACGAAGACUUGGCCAUAAAGGCCAUAUUUGAGUAAAACGGUACGUAAAGGAUGUAAGACUCUCAUUAUUCAGUUCCUAUGUGUUCAGUUAGUAUUGAUCUCUGGGAUCAUUGUGCACGUACAUUUGGUGAUCACGACUUAUGAAUCGAGGUCCCUAGAGAGCCGGUAUUAGAUCCAUUCUAACUGUAGGAAGUCCUUAGUUAGCAUGGACGUUAGUUAGGACGAGACUAUUUUUCCAGACCCUUCAAAAUCACUGACGGGAUUCUACAUUUCUCACCUCCUCAAAAUUUUCAAAGGAAGAGAAGGUUUUUGCCUUAGAACUUCCACCAUUAUUCUCCCGACUAUCCUCGUCUGCUUUUCCAAAACAUGCAAUUGGUAGCUAGCACCCUUAUGCCCCUGACCACUGGAUUCCUUGAAAUCCUGGUGGAUAACUUGAAAGGAAGCCUUGCCAAAACGAUCACCCACGUAUUGGAAGACAAGGUUGGAAACACUACAUCAAGACUCCGAAUAUGGUGACACCCUCAACACUGCCCCAAGUGAUGCAACCUUGGCCUAUGAUGAUAAAGACAUAAGAUAUGCAAGAUCAUGAUAUGCAUCUCUAGUAAAGAGACCAUGUCCUUAUCAUUGUUGUGUCGACAAUCGUCCGUGGAUGAGAACCUCGCCAUUUGGUCCGCCUCACCAUAGUGAGAUGGAAGAUGGUUCUCUUCAUUCCUCGCUCUUGGUGUCGAUGUUGCCAUCAACAUAACUGAUUGAUCGGAACUCUAUCAUGUCUUGUCCAUGUCGUUGCAUAAAGGAGGAUCUAGUUAGAGCUCUCGACGCCUUCGAAGACAAGAAGACAUUGACAGGAUUAUGAAGGCAACAGAAGUCUCUGUGAACGACAACCAUGAGGAACUACCUUUGUCAACUACAAGGGACAUAGAAACACCCGAGUAAGACCCAUACAACGGAAGUCUUUCUCUCCAAGACACGAAGCAAGCAUGAUUAUAGAGUCCGAGGACCCCUAGGGUAGGACGAGUCAUGUAUCCUGUAUGCUAAGUCGAGUCCAUGUGAUGGUUUGAACGGAACCAUAUUGUGUGUUGCUUGUUUUUGCUUUUUUGUGCUUUGAUAUAAGUCGCACUUUUUCCCUAGGCGACAAGUACGCAACUGUAUCACCUACGUCAUCUUGAUAUUGUGUUUGGAAUAUGUGACACUUGUUUGAUUGCACUUGCACUAUACCACCCCCUUAGGCACUCCCCUCGAUGUUAUUCUCCUUCUCCCCCAUCUCGAUAAAUGAACACAAGCAAGAUAAGAUACACCGAGGACCCACCUUGACUAGCACUAAAGACUUUGACCACAAUGUACUCAACCACACACAACCCGUAGAGUUGAUUCUCCCUCAAGAUUGGAAACCCUUCCCUAGACCAACCUUGACCUCACAAGCUACCCCAACUCAAACCUCGGAUCACAUGUUAAAUAUAUGGGUUUGCCAAAGCACGUGUUGAGCUACAAAAUCCCCUGCUUAGCACUGGGUUCAUUAUGGAACUAGUGGUUAUAGUGAACAAACAUCCUUCAUUCUUAAGCUAGCACCAGAACCUUGAUGCCAUAGGGGAAUUGAACGAGGAUAUAUGACUUGGAUACAAAUGAUUUGAUGUAACUAUAAUAGGUGUCUUGAGGAUACAUCCAAGACUCUUUGGUGGAUUACGACACGUUCAUAGUGAUGGGUGAACUUGGUAGGGUAGCAUGAUUUACUUCUCCUUUGAGAAAAUUGGAUUUAGUAGGACGACUGAGGAGCAUAUGUUGAAAAUUCUAGGUGGUAUGAUAACUUGAUUCUGACAAGCAAUGGUCAUGGAUUGAUGAUGUCAAAGUGGUGGCUUGGAGUGACCAGUAGGAGUUCUCGUUAAACAUGAGGUUUGGAUGUAGAUAGGUGAUCCUAGUCAGGUAUUGGUGUUAAGUAGAAGAACAUGGUUCGAAGUAACUUAGAUUUUGUCCAGUUAUAUUUAUUAUGAUACCAUGUUUCUUGGUGGAUGGUAAGGUAAGGGAAAUUGGAGUUGUCAAAAUUGAUUUAAGGAUCUAUAUAAGCUUGACUUUGGAUUUUACUAGAUCGUCAUGAUGGGAAUUGGUGGAUAUACCAUGAUAAUAGUCCCUUCAAUGGUUUAUCGAUUAUGGUAACUCUAGGAAACUAUGCAUAACUCCAUCAACAUUGGAUUUGUAGGAGUAGUGGAUCAUGUAAUGAGUGAUGACAUUUAAGGACCACUUCAUCGGAUUCAUAGGACGGAAACAAGAUCUUGGAUUGGUAUGUUACACGUUUCCUUAGCAAAUAUGUGCAAUAGCUUAAACCUUGGGUAGGUUAGUAGGGCACUUGGAUUUGUAGUGUCAUAAUCAAGCUUAGCAUCUUGUAAGCUUUCUCGAGGAUUUUUACAUAGUGAUAAGUGUGAGUUGGCUAUAGUUUAGUUAUGGAUAUUGGCUUAGUUCUUCUCUCAAACCAUGGAGUUGAAUAGCAUUAGUGAUGUUGGAGUUGACUAAUAUGAGAUGGUACUUUUGAUGGUAUUGGAUGAUUCUGUUUGGAGAGAUAGGUAGGACUAUUGGCAUCUAAGAAAGUGUGCUCAAGGAUAAUAUGAUAGACUUUAACUCACAUCCUAAGCUCCUUAAAAACCAGAAGCUUUACCAAGCCAUAACAUCGUUGGAUUACGACCAUAGGUCUUGGCUCUAAGUCAUUAGACUAUGGCCAAUACUCCACCUCGACCAUCACAAACCCCUCGACGAGUGACCAUCCGAAACAACUACCGCUCCUCGCACAAUAUAUCAUGAGCAAUGUGCAUAUGUGAUGGUUCGAGAAAUAUGUUUUUGUGCUCGUGGACGACAUACUUAUUUACCAAAUAUGAGAGUAACACCUUAGUCCUAUUUGGAUAAGCCUCGGAAGCAUCAAUUUCCCUUCUUCUCAAGAGUAAGGUUUUGCCUUGAAUAAGUUGGACUCCUUGAAGCACCCUCCAAGCAGCAGAAGACAUUCCUACCAAAGCAAGGUGAAGAACCACCAUGGCUAAGAAGCCACGAUGAUGACGAAGAAGAAGCAAUUGAGUUCAACCACCACUCGUCUACCGGCUACAUCAACUAUGUCUACAAACAUCGAUGUUCAAGCAUGAUGAAACCCUUGAACGACAAGAGAAAUUGAAGAGCCCCCUUUUGGUCCAACCAAGGAUGUGAGUCAUGACUACAUCAUUGGGAUCCCCCUGUCAAAGGUGGUUCGCCCCAUUUGCCAAGCCUAAAACCAUGGGGAUUGAGUGUUUGGUCUAUACUUUUGAGUAAACAUCUCAUCUAGGACCCCUCAAAGACUCUCCUAGGUGGUAGGACCCGUUUUGAACACCGAGUCUCUAAGAUUAGUCUUAUGGAAGAGAACCAACCCAGAUUUUUUUUUCCAGAAUCAGCUAUGAAGAGGCUAGAAGACCAAGCAUACAAAGACAUGCCGAAAGCAUGCGUCUGUGACGACGAAGACAAAUGGUUGGAGACAAAUGGAGAACAUAACAUGACAACUUACAUAAGUAGAAGAUCUCAACCAGACACCUACGUUGACAUGCGUCCACACUCCCAAGGAUGAAGACCACCUGCGACUAAAGAUCACCUGGUUUAAGGAAGUCAAGGAUUUCCCCGUCGGCGGGAAGCUACACCAAAACCUUGAACCUUAUAUUCUAACACGAGACAUCGAGAUGUCACUAACCAACAUAAGUAACCCCAGGACCACCAGCACAGACACACUACUUACCACAUAUUCCGACUUUGCCCAAACCUCGUUCACCAAGCCCUUGACCUUUAGUCAAGCUUAGCAUUUGCAAGAACUCUAUUCAUCCUCAAACGAAGCAAAGAAAAGCACUCGAAGCUACAUCAUCAAGCCCUUCAAGAUCAAUAGAAAUAAUCACACGGAAGAAGAAGUGACAUGUGAAUGUGAAGACUACCUCAGACCCAUAUUUUCUUAUCUUUUCAACGCCAAGCCUAGGAAACCCGGGGACGAGAUUCUUGUAAGGAGGGUAGGUCAGUCACACCGUGUAUUUUUCCUUACUUAUCUAAAUUAAUAUAGCUAAAACAUUAGGACCAAUUUUUUGAAUGUUUGUGAUGCUUGACUUGAUUGUUGUUUGCUUCCUUGCUUGACUGUGCCUGAUGUCAUGAAAAUUCUUCUACUCUAUUCUCAUCUCCUUGCUCCAAAUCUNUCCUAUUAUCAAAAGGACUUCCCAAAACCACAAAAUAAUUGUUUUAGAAGUUAUCUUGAAAUACGUUUUUCUGAGGCCAGAAAUGAUCUCUUAUAGGGAAAAUUGUUUUUAAGCUUCCAAAAUAUUUAAUAAAAUUUAGGGAAACUCAAUGGACAUAUAUUUUCCAUAUAUAAGAGUUUAAACACAUGGUCAUGUUCAAAAUAUUGCAGAAAACACUCCAAAACCCUUUCUCUCCAUUUGAAGCUUUUGAAAUAUUUCUAUAAGAAGUAUUCCCAAAUAGUUCCAUUAAAAUUCUAGCAUGUCACACAUGACAUAUGUGAUGAUAUUGCCAAGUUUCAUCUCAAUCCAAGUUGGUUUGAUUCACCAAAAUAUUCCAAAACAUUGUGUGUCAAAAUCCAAAUUUGAGCAACUCUACAUUGCCAAGUUUCUCCUUUGGUUCUCAAAUUUUGUGGAGUUGUUAUAAUACCCUAAUAAUGCAUCCACACCAAGUGGUGCAUCAAGGAGAAUAGAUCCACUUGCCCAAAUCCCCUUAGAACCACUUCUGUUGAUUUCUAGAAUUUGGAAUAUUUGCAUUGUCAAGUUUCUCCAAUUGACCGCAAACUUUUUGGGCAUUCUCUAAUCCUCAAAUAAGGCCACCAUACGAAGUGGUGCAUUAGGGGGAAAUAAUUUGCAAGGAUAGAUCUAGAGAAAAACAUUUCUGUCCAUCUCUAGGGAUUAUCAGGUUUGCAUUGUCAACUUUUUCCAACAAAUCUCAAAAUUGGUGAAAAAGUUUAGUUAUGCCAACUAUUUGAUCCUGGUAAGUUUCAUACCAAGGGGAAUCCUUUAGCCAUCCUAGACACCCAUCAAACACCUUCUGCACAUUGCUCCUAGUCACCCUUGACCUCUAGUAGCAACCUUAGCAACUAACUCCUUGAUUGAGAGGGAUAAAACCCCCACUUGAACCCUUGGAAAACACUCUUUUCUCUCCCUCCCAGCAUUUCUUCUCAACCAGGGCACCCCAAGGGCAUCCAAGGCUAUGUAGAAUUUGUUUACUCCCUCCUAGUUCUGGUGGGCAAGUUUGGCCUCACCUAGGACGUAAGUUGCAUAGCAUGGAAUGCAAAGCUCGCACUCUGGAGCAUGCAACAGUGUGCAGCCGCAGUGUAGCGGUAGCCAUUCUAAGCCAUCACGCGAUUUUGGGCAGUGGGGUCGUGUCUGCCGAGGUCCCCUCGACGUACUCAAAACGCCACACUAUCGCUCUAAUCCUCCCUUUCCCUCCUCCUCCCUCGACACAGCUUGCUAGAGCGCCGCCCGUGGAUUCAGUCCACGGUGCACUUUGUCGUAGCCAUAUAUGGCGCUCCCGAGCUCACUCUCAUGCGAAUGCAACUCCUCUCUCUUCCGCAUAGAUCAUGAACCAGCCCCCUCUCUCUUUCGUGGCCGAAAACCACCCCAAUGGUGAAGCUAUUCCGCCUUCUGCGACUCAGAAUUGGCGCCCCAGGUUGCUCCCCUUCCCCUCUCAACUGCACCAGAGCGCCCCCUCUCUGACACACUACUCCCCCGAGCCCAACUCCCUUUCCCCGUGCUCUGAGGACCGUACCGACCAACGCGGGCGUCAGCCUCCACCAUGGCCAAAGCCGUGGUCGGUCGCGACCUCCCCCAGGGCCAAGGGUCACCUAGUCGAGUGUGGCAGGCCCUUGUGAGCACACCUCUGGCCGGGGCAUGAUGACCCACAAGUAUAGGGGAUCAAUCGUAGUCCUUUCGAUAAGUAAGAGUGUCGAACCCAACGAGGAGCACAAGGAUCUAACAAGUGGUUUUCAGCAAGGAAAAGUCUGCAGGCACUGAAACUGUCGGUAACAAGUGAUUGUGUGGUGAGAUGAUUCGUAGCAAGCAACAAGUAACAAAAGUAGGAACGGUGCAGAAAAGUGGCCCAAUCCCUUUUGUAGCAAGGGACAAGCCUGGACAAAGUCUUAUAGGAGGAAAAACGCUCCCGAGGACACACGGGAAUUUCUGUCAUGCUAGUUUUCAUCAUGUUCAUAUGAUUCGCGUUCGUUACUUUGAUAGUUUGAUAUGUGGGUGGACCAGCGCAUGGGUACUGCCCUUACUUGGACAAGCAUCCCACUUAUGAUUAACCCCUCUCGCAAGCAUCCACAACUACGAAAGAAGAAUUAAGACAAAGUCUAACCUUAGCAUUAAACUAGUGGAUCCAAAUCAGCCCCUUACAAAGCAACACAUAAACUAGGGUUUAUGCUUCUGUCACUCUAGCAACCCAUCAUCUACUUACUACUUCCCAAUGCCUUCCUCUAGGCCCUAAUAAUGGUGAAGUGUUAUGUAGUCGACGUUCACAUAACACCACUAGAGGAAAAACAACAUACAACAUAUCAAAAUACCGAACGAAUGCCAAAUUCACAUGACUAUUAUUAGCAUGACUUAUCCCAUGUCCUCAGGAACAAAAGUAACUACUCACAAAGCAUAAUCAUAAUCAUGAUCAGAGGUGUAAUGAGUAGCAUCAAGGAUAUGAACAUAAACUCUUCCACCAAGUAAUCCAACUAGCAUCAACUACAAAGAGUAAUCAACACUACUAGCAACCUUACAAGUACCAAUCGGAGUCGCGAGACGGAGAUUGGUUACAAGAGAUGAACUAGGGUUUGGAGAUGAGAUGGUGCUGAUAAAUAUGUUGAUGGUGAAGAGUCCCCUCCAGUGAGAGGAGUGUUGGUGAUGACGAUGGCGAUGAUUUCCCCCUCCGGGAGGGAGGUUUCCCCGCCAGGAUUGUCCUACCGGAGCUCUAGAUUCGUUCUGCUCAAGUUCCGCCUCGUGGCAGCGGGGAAACCACGAAAAAGCUCACUUCUGAUUUUUUCCUGGACGAAACCCUCCAUAUAGCAAAAGAGGGGGCCAGUGGGCCAGUGGGCUUGUGGCCAUGCCAUGCAGGCUUGUGGGCACCCCGUGGUGCCCCUCCGGCACUUCUUUGGCCCAGUAUUUUUUAUACAUUGCGAAAAAAAUCUCCGUUGAUUUUUAUGGCGUUUGGAGUUGCGCAGAAUAGGUAUCUCAACUUUGCUCCACUUUCAGGCCAGAAUUCCAGUUGCCGGUAUUCUCCCUCUUCCUGUAAACCUUGCAAAAUAAGAGAGAAAUGGCAUAAGAAUAGUACCGUGAAGUGAAAUAACAGCCAAAGAAGAGAUAAAUAUCAACAUGAAAACAUGAUGCAAAAUGGACGUAUCAACUCCCCCAAGCUUAGACCUCGCUUGUCCUCAAGCGAAAGCCAAGCUCAAUAAACAUGUCCACAUGUUUAGGGAGAGAGGUGUUGACAAAACAAGAUACGAACAUGCAUGCAUCAUGAUCAUGAUCAGGACAACAAUACCAACAUAUAUUUCUCAUGCUAAAGUGAUAAUUCCUUCACAAAGUAAAGCAUGGAUCAAGAACCUUACCGAGAAGUAACAACCGAUAGCCUUUAGUCAUUGAAGCAAUUGCAAUUUAUCACAACAUCAGAAAGAGUCAAUAAGAGCUUGUAAAGCAAAUCCACAUACUCAAUCAUUCUUUCGUUCUCUACAAUUUCUACAACUCCCGUGGUACUCAUGAGAUCAAACUUUCAGCUGAAACAGAGAAAGAUAGGGGCUUAUAGUUUUGCCUCCCAACUGCUUACCUCAAGGGUAAUGUCAACAAUAAUAAUUCAUGAAUGCCUACCUCCAAGUUGACAUAUGAAUAUAGAUCUUUCUCAAGCAUGUGACGGUAGCCAAGACAAAGGCAAAACAAGGAAUUGGUGAAGAUCACCAUGACUCUUUCAGGGGCAAAAAGUAAAGAUACAAGAUAGGCCCUUCGCAGAGGGAAGCAGAGGUUGUCAUGCACUUUUGAGGUUUGGAUGCGUGUCCUCUUAGUGCGGAGGAACGCCACUUUAUAUUGCCUCAUGUGAUAUAGAACUUUAUUAUGCAGUCUGUCGCUUUUAUGUCUUCCUCAUCACAGGUUCGUAUAAAGCUUAUUUUCCACACACUAAUAGAUCAUACAUAUUAGAGAGCAAUUUUUAUUGCUUGCACCGAUGACAACUUACUUGAAGGAUCUUAUUCAAUCCAUAGGUAGGUAUGGUGGACACUGAAGGAAAAACUGGUUUGAAGGUUUAUGGAUGCACAAGUAGUAUCUCUACUUGGUGCGGGAGUUUUGGCUAAUAUGAGGUGGAAGCAAUCGUCACAUGCUAAGGGAUCUCUAAUCAUAUAACAUUGUUCAAAGCCAAGCAAACACAAUUCAUUACGUUGUCUUCCUUGUCCAACAUCUACUUCUAGGCAUGUAAUAGUUUAGUGAGUGUUCACAAUCAUAGAUGGUGUGAGAGAUGAUAUAUUUAUAUGUGAACCUCUCCUUCUUUAUCACUUCCUAUUAAUUGCAACAAUGACCAAGGUCUAAGUUUGCCUACCCUCAACAAGUUUCAAUCCUCAUUCUUUUUAUAUGUGAAGCCAUCACUUCCGAUAAGAUCAUUAUGUCGGGACCCCGAUCCUAAGCCAUAGGAAUCCAGCCUGUAACACAUCGCAUUCCUUUGUGGUCUCACGCACGGUUAACUCCACGGCUGCAGCCUUACCUUAGCCGGGACCGUUUGCGUCUUUUGACUCACGUAUGUGAUAGUGUCGCUAGCAUUCCAAUGUCAAAGAACCCGGAUCGACAUGUCUAGUCAUAAACCAAAGUGGCAGUUCCGCACAAGGACAGGCAUACAUGACCCAACAAAGCAGGUGUCGGUCAUCAACGAACGUAGACGAGUCGUAGCAAGCUACAAGGACUCCAUUACGUCGCGUGACAUUUCCCCAAAGGGGACAGACACAGCAGCUAAGAAGGACACAUGCCGGUCAACCAAUGUGUCCGGAGCAGUAGCGAACUACCAAGGCUCGUUGGAUCACAAAGGGGCAUUUUCUUGUAAGGAGUGCUACUAAAGUUCACGACUAGGUAUUCGAACCCCAUACAUAUCAAGUAAGACACACGCACGCAUGGCAUACCGAUAUGUAUAGAUACAUCGAUGGCAUCACAACAUAACCAUAAACAUACAAGCUUUAUUUAAGAGGCUCGGAAGAGCCACACACAUAUUAUUACACAUUAAGGGUCUCACAACCCAUAAUAGCAGUCAUACAAUACAAGCCAGCGGAAGAGUUAUAAACUGUCUGGGUACAGACAGAGCAACUAGAAGGCACAUGGCCUGACUAUACUACAGAGCCGACGUAGGGCCAGAUCGUAGCUGGGACACCAGCUACUCAUCGUCGUCGAUGUCUACGAAGAACCCUCCAUUAGGGUCAUUAGUAACCUCUGCAACAUUUAUUAAGCAAACAUGAGUACGAAGGUACUCAGCAAGACUUUAGGAUGACUAACUACUCAUGCAAGGUAUCAAGAAGGUAUUGUGGGGUUUCAUGCGGAAAGCCAGCAUUUGACUCGUGGCUAGACAACUUGCUUUUUGAAAUUAGUUUUGACAACUUGAUUUCUCGCACACGAGUCCACUAACACCACAACAAUACACUAUCGUGGAAUCAUUCCGUCUCCAUACGGAAAUGCCGUCCACGACACUCACGCUUAUCUUGACAAUUUUAUGAGUAGCCAUUGAAGUUAUCUAUGAACAACAUAUGUCUCCAAGUAGUCCAUAUCCGCGGACGCGGCUAUUCGAAUAGAUCAUAACCCUGCAGGGGUGUACUUCGUCACACACGCUCCCGCCACUUAUCGCCAUGUGCACGUCAUGCACCUCGGCAACCUUCAAGCGGAAGCCCAGCGAGGGAGUCGGCCACGACCGUUAACCACACUAGUACCUAGUCCAGGUUUAUCGCCUAUCUGAGAGUAACCCGUACGGAAGUCCGGCCGAGGUUUCCGCCACGGCCUCAAAUGAUGUGCGCAGGGUUCCCAAGCCCACCAUCCGGGUGCCACUUGGUACACCGUGCCACUGCCUACCGCAUCACGGUCCACCUCUCAGGUCAGCACCAUGCACGACCUCCAGCAUUACUAUAAACACCAGAAACUACUUGCAACUCCUGGACCGAGUACUACGCGAUUAAUAGGCCGAGCGGGGUCAUAUUUCAGGGCCCAGCAUGUGGUAGUAUCUAGUCUUGGAUUACAUACACGGAACUCAGUUCCUAAGGACGGUUCCAAUGAAACAACCCGCCAUGUACUCCUACACAGCCUUUCACCGGUACCUUUACCAAAUCAAGUUCAACACACGACCUUUGCUCACCGAACACAUUCCACAUUUCUGCUCAUCUCCCAGAUGACAGACCAUACACAACUCUAAGCAUAGCAUGCAUAGCAGGAUAAGGCACAUCAUAGCUCACGCAACUACCAGGUAUGCUAGGUUGCAAGGUUCGGCUAUUUACCGUGACAAGGUUAAGUCAUGCAAAGGAAGUGGGUCCAACUAUCGUGGCAAAAGAAGUUGAAGCAUUUGAUCCUAAUGCAUUAAAUAGGUGCAGGAGCAAGAACAUAGGUGUUAUCGGGAUGAUCAAAACGGUUGCUUGCCUUGUUGCUCAGAGGAGGAACGAUAUCCGACGGACGGAUAUUCGGUGGAAUCCGGGGGUGCGGAGCCUACCGAAAUGAACGGCAUCAUUCAAUAACAAUCAUAUGCAAUCAAAAUGAUGCAUGAGCAAGGCAUGAGAAUGCAAGUGAUAAGUUAUUAUAAUCAAGAUGUUUUAGGUUUAGAGUUGAUUUGAAUCACAUUCGAAUAGCAACUCAAACGGGUAUUCCCGGAUACCGGUUUAAUUGAUUCGACCUGAUGCUCAGAUCAACCUAAUGUUAACAUGCAUGAAAUGUCAUGUUAUGGUACUGAUUUACCUCUAGGGCAGUGUGUGAUCAUUGUAUUUAUAAUGAAAUUUGGAUAUUUUUGCAAAUUCCAUUUAUAAAGUGAUUAAAAGAAUUGAAUUAUUCCUUAUUUCACAAUUUAGGGUUCUGUAACUUUUUCAAACAUAGUUGAAAAUAGCAUAAUCAGAAUCCUUGAAUUUUUCUGAUACUUUUUCAUAUAUAAAUUAUUUUCAUUGGAGUUACAGAUUAAUUUCUAUGAUUUUUGCAAUUUUUAGCAAUUUCCUGAAUUAUUUUUAUACUAGAAAUUCCAUUUAUUGCAUCAGGCUGACGUCAGCAGGUCAGCCGACCUGUGCAGGUCAAACCUGACAGGGGGGCCCCACUGGUCAGCCUCUCUGGGACUAAUCCCGCGCUGACCAGCCCCUAAUUGGGGUUUGACCAGGCAUGGGGCCCUCUGGCAGCGACUCAGGGGAGGGCGAUUAGGCCCUAAUGGUCGGCCACGUCGACGGCCACCGGAGGGUGGUCGCCGGCGACCAAACCCGUGGCGGAGGGCUCGCUGGAGGCGACCUAGACGGCGCUGCACGGCACGAAAACGCACGCGGUUGGCAGCUACAGCAAGCCCGCGAAGUGGCCGAUCUGGCAGGACCAUCUGGGGAGGCUAGGGUCGCCGGAAGAGGCGUCGGCGACGAGCCGGAGCGGCGGCCGAAGCUCGGGCGUCGUCGGGGGCUUUGAAUCAGAGGGAUCCGCGCUUAGUUCUUAACUGCUACGGCAUCUACGCGUCGUCCUGGAGCUUCUGGUGCUCUCGGGAGGACGAGCUGGACAUCGGAGGGCUACCGGCGACGAGCGGUAGCGGCGGUGCUCGUCGGGCUCCGGUGAAACUAGGGCUAGAGGAGGGGAUCGACGGGGAAAACUUAGGGAAAACCACCGCAUGCUCACAGGGAGUGCAGAGAAGAGCUCAGACGGCUCGGGGAAGGCCUGGGGGCGACGAAUCGACGGGAGGGGUCCGGCGGCCGGAGGAAGAAGACGACGGCGUUGCGGGCGUUGCAGGGCGCGAGGAAGCUUCGGCUUCUGCAGGAAUGACCAGGGCGACGAGGCGGAGCUAAUGGCGUGCUCGCGGAGGGGAUCCUAUGGCCAGGGGCACGGCCAGCUCGAGCUCAAGCUCGGCUCUAAUGGCGGCAGAAGGGAGAAGGAGGGGAUCCGAGCGGAGGAGGAGAACCGAGGCGGGGAAUGGAUAGGGGAGGCUCUGGGGAGCUUAUCCCCGUCGUCGCCAGCACGAACCGGCGGCCAGGCAGGCACGCAGGUGCGUGGCCGCGCCGGAGGAGGCGGCGGCCACCUCCUGCUGCCUACUGGCGCGGGGAAGGGGACGAGCGGCGAGAUGGGCCGGGCCUGGCUUGGGCGACAGGUAAGCUUUUUCCCAUUUUCUCUUUUUUGGUUUUUCUGUUUUGCUAUUUAUUGCUUUGCUAAUUAUUUCAGCUCCAAAACAAAAAGUAAAAACCAUUUUAGACCCCCUGAAAUAUUUAUUAUAAUAUCCCCACACAUUUCCAAGACUUUCAACAUUUUUGAAAAUUAUAGAUUCUGAUUUCAAAUUUUUAAAUUUGAAACCAGUGGCUUUUGCAAAUAUUUAAAAUGCUUAAAGUGUCAAGAAAAUAGUUUCCUCCAAUGCUCAUUUACUUUCAUGAUUUAUCAGAAAGUUUGAACAUUUCUUGGGGCCAUUUUGGGUUCAUUGAUUUUGAACUAGUUGAAAUUUCCUUUAAUUGAAAUGGUGGCUAGGGUUUUGAGUUUUUCCUUUGCCACUUUGUUGUUUUUGUUGAAACUUCUUGGAUGCAAAUGCAAAUAAGACAUGAGCACAAUGCUAUCUUGCUUAAGGGUUAGGGAUGUGACACAUUACAUGAUCUUUCAUGAUUUUGUUCUAUUCUCACUCUUUUGAUCAUGGCAAGAGGCAAAGCCCUUCAACUAAGACACUCUUUAUUAUAUGGCUCGCGAGCAAGAAUACAUCGGGGGUGACACAAAGCAAAACUCAAGACUAAAACACUAAAAGUUUACUCUACUAGAGAAAAAGAAAACUGAAAAGGAAAACUAAAACAAAGGUAAAGGUGAAAUAUGUGAUGGUGAUACGAUACCGAGGCAACUCCCCCAAGCUUGGCACAAGCCAAGGGAUUGCCCAUACCAAUGCUGAGUUGUCUUCCUUUGGUGGUGGUGGUGGUGGAGUUGUUGCAGAGGUCUUGAGCUUGUCCAAUUUCCACUUGAGCAUAAAAUUCUGCUCUCUCACAUCAUCAUUUUCCUCCUCAAGCUUCAACACCCUUUGGCAUAAUUCCUGUUUACUCUCCUGCAAGAAACGAGAAGGGAUAAACAAGGUCUGAGGCUUCUUCCUUGAGUCAGGGAGGCUCGACUUCUUGAACUCCACAUGAGUGCGUCCAGGUUGAGGUAGAGGAGCCUCCUCUACAUCGGAACUCGUUUGUUCCUUCCCCUUGGGAUCAUAAUCUUCUUCCUCGUCAGUGGUCUAGCCAUAUGGUUCCAAGUCCCCAUAGACCUUGGGGUUAGCAAGGUAAUCAGCCACAUAGCUCUCCACCUCUGAAUCCUGAGAAGACAUCUUGACCUAGAUCUGCGGCAGAAAACAUGCUCGAAACGAAAAACAGAGGAAAUCUGCGUGAUGCAGGGGUCAGACCAAACGAAUGUAUAUAUAUUGAUUUUUUCCAGACCAGAAGGAGUACCCUGCACGAAAAUGGAGUCCGGGAGGCGCACGAGGUGGCCACAAGCCCUCACGGCGCGGCCAGGGGGUGGGACCGCGCCGUGCAGGCUUGUCGCCUCCUCGCGCACUUUCCGGACUACUUCCCAUUUUUGUAUUUUUUCAAAUAUUCCAAAACGUAGAAAAUUUCCUAUUGGAAAAGUUUUGGACUCUGUUUUCUUACCGAAUCACAUACCUCUUCGUUUUCGGAGUCUGAAACAGGCUGAUAAAAGUCCCUUAGGUAUUGUUCCGGAGUUAUGGUAUUGAUGAUAUUGCUUUCAACAUUUAUGGGAGUACCUGAGAUAUAAUGCUUGAUUCUCUUCACAUUUACCACUCUCAGACAAUUACCUUCCGUGUUGUUGAUCUUGAUAGCACCGGAAUGAUAUACUUCCUCAACAACAUAGGGACCUUCCCAUUUAGAGAGAAGCUUGCCUGCAAAGAAUCUUAAACGAGAGUUAUAUAGCAAGACAUAAUGACCUACAUUGAACUCACACUUUUGUAUCCUCUUAUCAUGCCACCUCUUAACCUUCUCUUUGAGGAGCUUGGCAUUCUCAUAUGCUUGAGUUCUCCACUCAUCAAGCAAGCUAAUGUCAAAUAACAUCUUCUCACUGGCAAGUUUGAAAUCAAAGUUGAGCUCUUUGAUUGCCCAGUAAGCUUUAUGCUCUAGCUCAGGAGGUAAAUGACAAGCUUUACCGUACACCAUUUUGUACGGAGACAUGCCCAUGGGAUUCUUAUAGGCAGUUCUAUAAGCCCACAGUGCAUCAUCGAGCUUCUUAGACCAAUUCUUUCUAGACCUGUUGAUAGUCUUUUGCAGAAUCAGUUUAAUCUCUCUAUUACUUAGCUCUACUUGACCACUGGACUGAUGGUGGUAGGGAGACGCAAUUCUAUGGUUGACAUCGUACUUAGCAAGCGUUUUACGGAAAGCACCAUGAAUGAAGUGUGAACCACCAUCGGUCACUAGAUAUCUAGGGACUCCAAAUCUAGGGAAGAUAACUUCUUUCAGCAUCUUGAUAGAGGUGUUGUGAUCAGCACUACUAGUGGGGAUAGCUUCUACCCACUUAGUGACGUAAUCAACAACAACUAAGAUAUGCGUAUACCCGUUGGAUUUUGGAAAAGGUCCCAUAUAAUCAAAGCCCCAAACAUCAAAUGGUUCAAUGACAAGUGAAUAGUUCAUAGGCAUUUCCUGACGUUUGCUAAUAUUACCUAUUCUUUGACAUUCGUCACAAGACAAGACAAACUUACGGGCAUUCUUGAAGAGAGUGGGCCAAUAGAAACCUGAUUGCAAUACCUUGUGUGAAGUUCUAUCUCCCGCAUGGUGUCCUCCGUAGGCCUCGGAGUGACACUUCUGUAGGAUAUGUCCCUGUUCAUGUUCAGGUACACAACGUCUAAUAACAGCAUCUACUCCUUCCUUAUAAAGGUGAGGGUCAUCCCAAAAGUAGUGUCUCAAGUCAAAGAAGAAUUUCUUAUUUUGCUGAUAUGUGAAACUAGGUGGUAUGUAUUUGGCAACGAUAUAGUUUGCAUAAUCGGCAUACCACGGUGCACUAUGUGAAGCAUUGAUGACACUCAAUUGCUCAUCGAGAAAGCUAUCAUCAAUAGGUUGUGGGUUAUCAAGAACCUUCUCCAACCUAGACAAGUUAUCCGCUACUGGGUUAUCAGCACCUUUUCUGUCAACAACGUACAGAUCAAAUUCUUGUAGCAAGAGAACCCAUCUGAUAAGUCUAGGCCUAGCGUCCUUCUUCUCCAUGAGGUACUNNNNNNNNNNNNNNNNNNNNNNNNNNNNNNNNNNNNNNNNNNNNNNNNNNNNNNNNNNNNNNNNNNNNNNNNNNNNNNNNNNNNNNNNNNNNNNNNNNNNUGUCUAGAGUUUUACUAGCGUAGUGAAUAACAUUCAACUUCUUAUCAACUCUUUGCCCUAGCACAGCACCAACAACAUAAUCACUAGCAUCACACAUUAUUUCAAAGGGCAGGUUCCAAUCAGGUGGUUGAACAAUAGGUGCAGUUAUCAAAUCCCUCUUAAGUAGUUCGAAGGCUUCCUCACAAUCAUCGUCAAAGACAAAAGGAAUAUCCUUUUGCAAGAGAUUGGUAAGAGGCCUAGAAAUCUUAGAGAAAUCAUUAAUGAACCUUCUAUAGAAACCAGCAUGACCAAGGAAACUUCUUAUACCCCUUGAUAUCUGUGGGGUAUGGCAUUUCCUCAAUUGCAUCAACCUUAGCCUUAUCGACUUCAAUACCUCUUUCAGAAAUUUUAUGUCCUAAGACGAUGCCUUCAUUAACCAUAAAGUGGCACUUCUCCCAGUUCAAGACAAGAUUGGUGUCUUUACAUCUCUCUAAGACUCGAUCAAUGUUGCUGAGACAAUCAUCAAAGGAAGACCCGUAAACGGAGAAGUCAUCCAUGAAAACCUCAACAAUAUUUUCACAAAAGUCAGAGAAUAUAGCCAUCAUACAUUUUUGAAAUGUGGCAGGUGCAUUACAUAAGACAAAAGGCAUACAUCUAUAGGCAAAGGUACCGAAGGGGCAGGUGAAAGUGGUUUUCUCCUGAUAAGAUUGUGCAACUGGUAUUUGGGAGAAACCAGAAUAACCAUCUAGAAAGCAGAAGUGUGUGUGUUUAGACAACCUUUCUAGCAUUUGGUCGAUAAAAGGAAAAGGGUAAUGAUCUUUCCUAGUGGCCUUAUUCAACUUCCUAAAAUCAAUCACCAUCCUAUAGCCAGUAAUAAUCCUCUGUGGGAUCAACUCAUCCUUAUCAUUAGGGACAACGGUGAUGCCUCCCUUCUUAGGAACGCAAUGCAUCGGACUCACCCAAUCGCUAUGAGCAACAGGAUAGAUAAUACCCGCUUCCAGGAGCUUUAGUACUUCUUUUCUUACUACUUCUUUCAUCUUAGGAUUCAAUCUCCUUUGAUGAUCAACAACUGGUUUGAAAUUAGGAUCAGUUUUGAUCUUGUGCUGGCAUAGAGUGGGACUAAUGCCCUUAAGAUCAUCAAGAGUAUAUCCUAUAGCAGCACGGUGCUUCCUCAGAGUUUUUAGUAACUUCUUUUCUUCAUGCCCCGAGAGGUUAGCACUAAUAAUAACAGGAUAUAUCUCUUUUUCAUCAAGAUAGGCAUACUUAAGAGUAUCAGGCAACUGUUUAAGCUCGAACACAGGAUCACCCUUUUGUGGGGUGGAUCCCCAAGCAGUUCAACAUGCAGAUUAUUCUUAAGGAUAGGAUAUUGUUCUAAGACAACUCUAUCUAUUUCAUCCCUUUCAUCCAUAUGCAUAUCAUUUUCAUGCUCAAGCAAGUAUUGCUCUAAGGGAUCAGUAGGAGGCACGGCAAUAGAGGCUAAGGCAAUAGUUUCAUCCCUACUAGGCAACUCCUUUUCAUAAGGUUGUCUACCAAACUUAGAGAAAUUGAUCUCAUGUGACACACCUUCAAAGCCAACAGUGACAGUUUGCUUCUCACAGUCAAUAUGAGCAUUGACGGUAUUGAGAAAAGGUCUGCCAAAUAUGAUGGGACAAAAGCUAUCUUGAGCGGUAGCAAGAACGAGGAAAUCAGCAGGAUACUUCGUUUUACCACAGAAGACUUCAACAUCCCUAACAAUUCCCACAGGGCAGAUAGUAUCUCUAUUGGCAAGCUGAAUAGUGACAUCUAUAGGUUCUAUCUCAACAGGUGCAAUCUCAUCUUUAACUUCAUCGUAUAAGGAUUGAGGUAUUGCACUAACACUAGCUCCCAAGUCACAUAAACCAUGAUAACAAUGAUCUCCUAUCUUAACAGAAACCAUAGGCAUGCCAACAACAGGCCUAUGUUUGUCUCUAACGUGAGGUUUAGCAAUUCUAGCAGCAUCUUCACAAAAGUGAAUAUUAUGUCCCUCAACUUCUUCAGAUAGAAGAUCUUUGAUAAUAGUAAUGCUAGGUUCAACUCUAAUUUGCUCAGGGGGUGUAGGUGUUCUAAUAUAGCCUCUACGUAUCACAGUUGAAGCUUUGGAAUGAUCCUUUAUCCUAACAGGGAAAGGUGGUUUCUCAAUGUAAGCACUGGGAACCACGGGAUCAUUAUAGGCAAUGACUUUCUCUUCAACUGGAGUGGGUUUGACUACAUUGACUUCUAAAGGAGGAUGAUAUUUAAACCACUUCUCUUUGGGGAGAUCAAUAUGGCAGCAAAGGAUUCACACAAUGAAGCUACUAUCUCAGAGUCAAGUCCAUACUUAGCGCUAAAGUCACAAAAAGUAUUUGUCUCAACAAAUGAUUUAACGCAAUCAAACGUGAAAUUCAUACCUUACUCCUUACCUUCUUCAAGCUCCCAAUCUUCAGAGUUAAGUUUAAUUCUCUCCAAUAAAUUCCAUUUGAAGUCAAUAUCUCUCUUCAUAAAAUAACCGGUACAAGAAGUGUCAAGCAUGGUGCGAUCAUCAUGAGAAAGCCGAGCAUAGAAGUUCUGAAUGAUAAUUUCUCUCGAGAGAUCAUGAUUGGGGCAUGAAUAUAGCAUUGAUUUAAGCCUCCCCCAAGCUUGAGCGAUGCUUUCUCUGUCACGAGGAAAAAAAUUAUAAAUAUAAUUUCGAUCACGAUAUACUAAAUGCAUAGGAUAAAACUUUUGUUGAAAUUCCAAUUUCAACCGAUUGUAGUCCCAUGAUCCAGUAUCAUCACAUAGCCUAUACCAUGUCAACGACUUAUCCUUCAAAGAUAAAGGAAAGACAUUCUUCUUGACCUCAUCCUCGGGCACAUCUGCAAGCUUAAAUAAAUCACAAACCUCAUCUACAUAGAUUAGAUGCAAGUCUGGAUGUGAUGUUCCAUCUCCUGUAAAAGGAUUAGCCAGCAGUUUCUCAAGCAUGCCCGAAGGAAAUUCAAAGCAAAUAUUUUCAGUAGGUGCAGCAGGUUGAGGAGCAACUCUUUGUGCUUCUGUUCUAGGUGAAGAUACCCCGAACAAGCCCCUCAAAGGAUUAGUAUCCAUAGUGACAAGUGACAAUAAAUUUCAGCACACUAUAUGAAUGUUUCCUUACCAAGUUCCACUUACCAAAGGCGCUUCACUCCCCGACAACGGCGCCAGAAAAGAGUCCUGAUGACCCACAAGUAUAGGGCAUCAAUCGUAGUCCUUUUGAUAAGUAAGAGUGUCGAACCCAACGAGGAGCAGAAGGAUCUGACAAGUGGUUUUCAGCAAGGAAAAAUCUGCACGCCCUGAAACUGUCGGUAACAAGUGAUUGUGUGGUGAGAUGAUUCGUAGCAAGCAACAAGUAACAAAAGUAGCAACAGUGUGGCAAAGUAGCCCAAUCCCUUUUGUAGCAAGGGACAAGCCUGGACAAAGUCUUAUAGGAGGAAAAACGCUCCCGAGGACACACAGGAAUUUCUGUCAUGCUAGUUUUCAUCAUGUUCAUAUGAUUCACAUUCGUUACUUUGAUAGUUUGAUAUGUGGGUGGACCGGCGCUUGGGUACUGCCCUUACUUGGACAAGCAUCCCACUUAUGAUUAACCCCUCUCGCAAGCAUCCGCAAUUACGAAAGAAGAAUUAAGACAAAGUCUAACCAUAGCAUUAAACUAGUGGAUACAAAUCAGCCCCUUACGAAGCAACGCAUAAACUAGGGUUUAAGCUUCUGUCACUCUAGCAACCCAUCAUCUACUUACUACUUCCCAAUGCCUUCCUCUAGGCCGAAAUAAUGGUGAAGUGUUAUAUAGUCGACGUUCACAUAACACCACUAGAGGAAAAACUACAUAUAACAUAUCAAAAUAUCGAACGAAUACCAAAUUCACAUUACUAUUAUUAGCAUGACUUNNNNNNNNNNNNNNNNNNNNNNNNNNNNNNNNNNNNNNNNNNNNNNNNNNNNNNNNNNNNNNNNNNNNNNNNNNNNNNNNNNNNNNNNNNNNNNNNNNNNNNNNNNNNNNNNNNNNNNNNNNNNNNNNNNNNNNNNNNNNNNNNNNNNNNNNNNNNNNNNNNNNNNNNNNNNNNNNNNNNNNNNNNNNNNNNNNNNNNNNNNNNNNNNNNNNNNNNNNNNNNNNNNNNNNNNNNNNNNNNNNNNNNNNNNNNNNNNNNNNNNNNNNNNNNNNNNNNNNNNNNNNNNNNNNNNNNNNNNNNNNNNNNNNNNNNNNNNNNNNNNNNNNNNNNNNNNNNNNNNNNNNNNNNNNNNNNNNNNNNNNNNNNNNNNNNNNNNNNNNNNNNNNNNNNNNGAGAUGAGAUGGUGCUGAUGAAGAUGUUGAUGGUGACGAGUCCCCUCCGGUGAGAGGAGUGUUGGUGAUGACGAUGGCGACGAUUUCCCCCUCCGGGGGGAAGUUUCCCCGGUAGGAUCGUCCUACCGGAGCUCUAGAUUGGUUCUGCUCAAGUUCCGCCCCGUGGCGGCGGAGAAACCACGAAAAAGCUCCCUUCUGAUUUUUUCCUGGACGAAACCCUCCAUAUAGCAAAAGAGGGGGGCCAGUGGGCCAGUGGGCUUCCCACAAGCCCCCAUGGCGCGGCCUGGGGGGGUGGCUGCGCCGUGCAGGCUUGUGGGCACCCCCUCGUGCCCCUCCGGCACUUCUUCGACCCAAUAUUUUUAUAAAUUGGGAAAAAAAUCUCCGUUGAUUUUCACGGCGUUUGGAGUUGCACAGAAUAGGUAUCUCAACUUUGCUCCACUUUCAGGCCAGAAUUCUAGUUGCCGGUAUUCUCCCUCUUCAUGUAAACCUUGCAAAAUAAGAGAGAAAAGGCAUAAGAAUAGUACCGUGAAGUGAAAUAACAGCCAAAGAAGAGAUAAAUAUCAACAUGAAAACAUGAUGCAAAAUGGACGUAUCAGGGCACCAUAGGAGGUGGCCGGUGUCGCCGAUGGGAACACUGGCGCCGCUCGGCUCCGCCUCUAGCCUGCUCCCUCUAUGCAAGAGCGGGAGGUAUGGGAAGAACCUGCCACACGGGCCCCGCCUGUCGGCCAGUCAGCGAGGCUCGGCCUCUAACGGGUGGGCCUCGCCCAUUUUAAGUGGAAACGGUUUUGGCCGAAGAUGGUUCCCAAGGGUGGAAGCGUAUUUCACGAAAUACGCCUUAGGCAUCGCCUCUCAGCCAUGCGGCCGAGCCAUUGGGCCGACCCAGUGGUUAUCCAACGCCGAGAGCGCAUUUUAGCUAUGGGUAAAAGUCCUUUUUCCUUUUUAUUUUUCUUCCAGUGAAGCAAAUAAUUCUUAGAAAAUUCAUUCCAAGUCCAAAUUUGUUGAUUCAAAUUCCUACUAGAUUCUAAAAUUAUAUCCCAUCCAAAUAUGUGCAUUGCACAUUUUUCCAGAGAACUUUUCUGUAGAUAUCAAAUUCAAAUUUGAAUUUAGAUUAUUCAAACCCCAUUUUAUAAAAUUCGUAGAGAGUCCAAAUCAACCCCAAAUGGAGUGAUUCAAAUUCAUAGGUGUUUAUAAAAUCAUCACCUAUUUGUCUAGCGAUGGCUACCAUUUUUACCAUCCAUUGUUUGUGAUAUAUAUAAUAAAUAGCCCCAUAUCCAUUUAGUCCAUCUAACUAAAUCUCUAGGGAAUUCAUAUCAACUCCAAAUCUAUUGAAACCACUUCGAAAAGUCUUCUAAAAUCAUGCCCUAUUAAAUAAGUGCCUCCACUCAUUUUUAAGGAAAUAUUUUCUAUAGAUUCCUUGUGGGGCUAGUGAUGCCUCUAUUUCCAUUGUUUAAAAUCCGUCGGUGAUCCAAAUCCACUAGAACAAGCUUUAGGAAUUUUUCUUAUGACGAGAGAUUUCCAAGAAACAAAAUAAAACUCCUAUUUAUAGAGCACUUUUAUUUUUUGCUUGUUGUGUUGCUUAUUUGGGGUGUUUUCGAUGAUAGUUGGUGAAGUAGAUGAAGUGCUCUGAAUUGGACGCGAAGCUACGAAGAACUCGAAGAUUUUGCUAAACCAAGCAAGUAGCCCUUUGACCAUGACUACAAAAACCUUUUAUGCAUGUCACAUGGCACUUUAUUUCGUUGCAUAUGAAUCAUGUUGAAUCAAUGACCACCACGGUGGGUUAUCUCCGAUAUUUCCUCGUUGACACUUGUAGUGAUCAUGGCCCUACCUUGCGGGUGGGAAGUAGUUAGGAUGUGCAGUAGCUGCUACGCAAGUGGGAUGUGAAUAUGCAUGGUGUCGAAAGAGAAAUGAUUUCGAAGACUUUUCGAAAACCCCGCCGGGUGCCACUAAUACCUGAGCGAGAAGGUGUUGAGAUAGGUAACCACUUGAAAAAGAAGUGGUGUACCAAGACAAGUUGUGGGUGCGUGUUUUCAAAAAUGGAGAGAUUUAAGAUUUGCCGACCAUCCCAACCUUACAUGUGCGACCACGGUACCCUUUUAUGGGACGGGGCUUUCUUGAUUACCUUGGUCGGUGCUAGAAGAGAUCCCGCAUUACUAGUGUCGGCAGUGGCAUGGUAACUCUCGAUACGGGGUCGUGCCAAGUAGGACGACCAUGGGCUAUUUUUACAAACAUCGGGCACAGCGUUGCAUGCCCUCAUGGAUGGUACGAUGUGAAUCAUGGCUCGUAUGAUGUACAUCAUGAGGGAUAGCACCAACGAGUGGAAUAUUUUUUUAGUGUUGCCAGGGAAAGGCAUUGUUCGGGUGCUUACCUCAGGUAUGUAAUAUACCGCAAGCCAUGGGUGACACGGAAGUUCCCCGAGUCUUGUGGGCACAACGCAUAAACCUCUGCACAGUGUAAAAAUAUUCAAAUAGCCAUGACAAUGGUCAAGGAUAGUUGGGUGGUGCAGCUUAAACCAUCCAAAUGUUUUCGAAAACUUGGUGUGUGUGUGUGAGAGAGAAAGAUGAUAGUGUGAGAAAGAUGACGCUUGAGUUAAGUCGGAUGACUUGCCAUGGUAAAUGAACAUCAGAAGUUCAGCCCCUAAUAUGAUGAUAUCUAUAUCUUUUUUAUGUAUAUUUGCAACUUGUUGAUGCAUGCUUUUACAAGUUGAUUGAUCAUGACAAUGCGCUCAAAACUAGUUUUCUGCGACUUACCUACUUAGUGCUAUUUCAUGCAUUUUUAUUGUCUUGUUCCAAACAUGGGUUGCUUGCAAGUACAUUCAAAGUACUCAUAUGCUUGCUACUUGUUAUUUUAUUGGCCAGGCAUGAAAGAACAUGACAUGAUGAAGAGUACAUUGGUGACGUGCGUGCGAGCUAGGACAUUUCUCAGUCAGAAUGCGUGUAGGGUUAAGGCAGAUGACAUGGAUUCACGCUAUCGUUGAAGAUUUCUGCUGCAAAUAUAUGAAGAAUUGCCAAUAAAUUCCAUAGUCGAGUAAAAUUGUACUUAAAGGAUGUAAUACUCUUGUUAUUCAGUUUAUCUGUGUUCAGUGAGCAUUGAUCUCUAGGAUCAGUGUGCACGUAUAUUGGAUGAUCACAACUUAUGAGUCGUCGUCCCCACAUACCGAUGGGCAUCUCCGUAGCCCAUCCGUACGCCUAGUUGAUGUGAGACUAUAUUCACCACUUUUACCCAUUUGAUAUCUACAACCAUAUUCUAUUCAUCCUUAUGUUAUGUCCAUGGCUCAUGCUCAUGUAUUGCGUGAUGAAUAAAAAGUUGAUUUACUUUGAAAAAGUAUGAUCCAAUUGCCUGACUUGGACACUGUGGUGCUUAAGAUUUGUAUUAAUGUGGUGAAGACGGAGCCAUGCUUUGCUAAUAUGAAAUACUAAUGGGGUAAACAUUCUUUUAGGAUCGUAUACUUUGAACGAUUGAUGAUUUUGUUGUUUGUGCUUAUAAUUAUUACUAUGUUUAUGUUUGUUAAUUCAACGUUUCUUAAUGAGAACACAUUAAAAAUGUUACAUAUUGGAUAGCAUGUCACAUAAAAAAAUUCUGCUUUUAUCAUUUACGUACUCGAGGGCGAGCAAGAAUUAAGCUUGGGGAUGCUUGAUAUGUCUCCAAUGUAUCUAUAAUUUUUUAUCGUUCCAUGUUGUUAUAUUUUUAUCUUAAGAUACUUUUUGGAUCAUAAUGCACAAAUUUAUAUUAUUUUUUAGCACUAACCUAUUAACCUAGUGCCCAGUGCCACUUGUUGUUUUUUGCGUGUUUUUUGUUUUUCAUGUUUUGAGUACGAAACAAAGUGCAAUUUCCACGAAUUUUUUUGAUCAUUUUUUCGGGACCAAAAGAAGACCUGGAAGCUUCGGGGGGAUACCUGAAGCCACACGAGAAGCCCACAUGGCAAUAGGGAACGACCAGGGGGUGGUCGCGCCCUAAUGCCUUGUCGCCUCCCUGUGCCCCCCUAGCCAUGCCCAGAUGCCUUGUCGCCUCCCUGUGGCCCCUCUUGCCUCGUUUUCUGGCCUAUAAAAUCCCAAAUAUUCCAGUAACCCUAAAUAUAUCCAUGAAACACUUUUUAUGCCGCCUCAAGUUUGUGUUCCAUAGUGAACCCAUGUGGAGCUUUGUUCCGGCACCCUGUAGGAGGGGUAUCAAUCACGGAGGGCCUAUUCAUCAACCUUGGUGCCCUCGUGAUGAUGUGUGAGUAGUUCACCAUAGACCUAUGGGUCCAUUGUUAGUAUCUAGAUGGAACUCUCUCUCUCUCUCUCUCUCUCUCUCUUGAUAUUCAAUACAAUGAUCAUCGCAUAUCCGCUCUAAUCUAUCCGAUGUAGUUCUUUUGUAUGACGUGUUUGUUGGGAUCCGAUGAAUUGUGGGUUUAUGUUCAUAUUAUUCAUGAAAAGUAUUUGAAUCUUAUUUGAGUUUUCUGAUUCUUAUUUGCAUGAUCAUCGUAGCUUCAUUAAUCUAUCUGAUCUAUCGAAUUGCUUUGGCCAGGUAGUUUGAUCUUUCUUAAGUGGUAGAUGUGCAUUGUAGUGGGUUCAACCUAGCGGGGUUUUAUAUCCUAGUGACAGAAAGGGGACAAGAUGUGUCAUUGUGUUGCUGCCACUAAGAAUAAAACGAUGGGGUUUAUUCAUAUUGAUUGAGUUUACUUUGUCUACAUCAUGUCAUCGUUUCCCAAGCAUUAGCCUGUUUUACUUAAUACUCUAGACAUAUGCUGGAUAGCGGUCGAUGGGUGGAGUAAUAGUAGUAGGUGCAGGCAGGAGUCGGCCUAUUUUCUUAUGGACAUGAUGUCUAUAUACACAUGAUCACUACCGUGAAAAUCACAUAACUAUCUGAUGUUCUAUCAAUUGCUCAACAGUAAUUUUCUUUACCCGUCGUAUUUUGCUUUCAUGAGAGAUGCCACUUGAGAACAUUAUGGCCCCGGGGUCUAUUCACGUAUAUAUUCAGAAAAACUAUAAUUUACUCACUGUUAUCAUUUGUCUUUUAUUUUACUUUGCAAGUCACAACUAUCUACAAUUAUAUACACACCUCAUUUGCUUGCCAAUAACAAGAUCAAGGGGAUUGACAACCCUCUUGCCCGCAUUGGUUGCAAGUUGUUUGCUCUUUUGUGUGCAGACGUUGAAGACGGUUGAUGAUUGAUAUUCCUAUUAGUUCCAUAAACCUUGGUUUCUUAAUCGAGGGAAAUACUUACCCAAUUAUGAUGUGAUAACCCGAACCUCUUCACGGAAAACCCAACGUAGAUCACAAGCAUUAGUAGUGUACCAAGAUGUGCAAUUAAUGAUGUAGCAUCUAUAUAAUGAUGAAUGGUGGCCUUUCGACUAAUAUCAUGUCAUAUAUAUAAUAAUGCAAAGCGAAAUGAUUAUGGAUCCUCUUGUCAUAUGAAUGGUAACUGUGGAAAUUGCAUGGAAAUAUAUCUCAGAAUGGCUAUGGAAAUGCCAUGUUUGUAAGUAUGGUGGUUGUUUUGAGGAAUGUGUAAUGAGGAUUAUGUGUGUUAAAGUAUAUCAUAUCACAGUGUUUCGAUGCACGAAGUAUUCAUCAAAUCUCAAGCUGAGAAUAGACAAUGCACGGUAUCGAAGAGGCUAUCAAAAUAUGGAGAAGGUAGGAGUGCUUACCGUCCACAAACUCACAUUAAACAUAAGGAACUUGGGUACUUAUUGCAUCCUCUAUGAUCUCUCUCUAAGCAAAGUCCUACUCGCAUACCCCUAGGGAGCAGGUUGGGAGGAGUUAACCACCUCACUCCCCCGGCCAGACAACACACAAGGCUUUGAAUCAAGGAUACUCAACACUCCAACAUCCUAGUUAUGCCACGACACACAUAUUAAUGAAUAGUGGAAGAAAAACAUUAAUUUCAUUAUUCUUAAAAAUCAACGUUCACCAACUAGCAAGCCAUCAUAUUGUAUCCUCAAUAUCACUAAUCAUACUUUUCGCAUUUAGUGAUCUACAUGAUUUUUUUAUUAUACCCCCUUGUAUACCUAUCAUUUUUUAACUAAACAUAUAACUUAUGCAAAUUACCACUUACUAUUCAAACUCUCAAAAAGGUAUAAGUGAAGCACGAGAGUGCAUAGGACUUUAUAAAAUAUAAUUUCCACCGUGCAAAUUACCACUUAUUAUUCAGAUUCUCAAAAUGCACUUGCGCUCAUGCCAUAAUAAACAUGACACCUCAUAUAUCAAAAAAGGCACUCAUACGAAAGGGUUUGUAGCUACCACCAUGCAUUGGAAAGAUAAAAAUUGGGGCCAGGCGUAGCUCCCACCAUGGGUAGCAUAUUAUUUUUCUUUACCAUAUUUAGGCUAUUAUGUGCAUUUCUAGGCAUUUACUACAUAUAAUUCAAGUUCAAACAAUCUAUACAUGAAAAAGUGCACAAAAAUGGUUCAAAAAUCAUAAUUAUGGCGUUGAGUAAAUUUUCAUGUCUUCUUCAAGAAAGUAUUAGAAAUUUCAAUGUUAUGUGGAGGAAGACUCAACCAAAAACGUGUUGUUUAUUGUUUUUUAACUCUAGGAAAUGAAAAACAUGUGUGAAAAACAUGAUACGUGGCAUGGUGUCAUGGCAUGACCUUGAUAUUAUGUGGUAAAUACUUCCUCCAUCCCGAAAUAAGUGACUCAACUUUNNNNNNNNNNNNNNNNNNNNNNNNNNNNNNNNNNNNNNNNNNNNNNNNNNNNNNNNNNNNNNNNNNNNNNNNNNNNNNNNNNNNNNNNNNNNNNNNNNNNNNNNNNNNNNNNNNNNNNNNNNNNNNNNNNNNNNNNNNNNNNNNNNNNNNNNNNNNNNNNNNNNNNNNNNNNNNNNNNNNNNNNNNNNNNNNNNNNNNNNNNNNNNNNNNNNNNNNNNNNNNNNNNNNNNNNNNNNNNNNNNNNNNNNNNNNNNNNNNNNNNNNNNNNNNNNNNNNNNNNNNNNNNNNNNNNNNNNNNNNNNNNNNNNNNNNNNNNNNNNNNNNNNNNNNNNNNNNNNNNNNNNNNNNNNNNNNNNNNNNNNNNAAAGUUGAGUCACUUAUUUUGGGACGGACGGAGUAUUUGAUAGGGUUUGGCUAAUGUCAUUAUAUACACUCUUCACAAUUCUAACCAUCACCAAGGAAGUUUCGUGCUUUUGAGAAGGAAAUCACAAAGUUCUGAAGGGAAAAUCUGCAUUUCCUUUGUCGUUUGUGCAAGAUUCUUUUUUCCACGAUCAAUGUACCCCUACAGUGCCUCAAGUUUAAAUUUGACAUAUUUGGGGUUCAUUUACUAUAUUUAGGCUUUAGAGAAAUAAUUUGCUACCCAUGGUAGUAGAUACGCAUGCACCAAUUUUUCUCUCUAAUUAUUUUUGUAAAUUAUUUUGGACUACAAAAAAUAAUUCAAUGAUAACAAUAUCGUGACUUUGGACCAGCCAAGCAAGCAAACACGCGAUUAUGCCAAAAAGGCAAGCAACAAAGUCUAAGAGAAGGGAGAAAGUUGCUUCUCAUAUAGUAAAUGGGCCUAAAAAGUGUCAAAUUUGAACAUGGUGCAUUGUAAGGGGUAUGUUGAUCGUAGAAAAAAACCAAGGAGAAAUGAAUAAGGAAAUAUGGGUUCCCCUUUAAACUUUAUGAUUUGUUCGCGCACAUGGUUAAUUUACGAAGGUCAUGUGCCUCCUAUAAUCAUGUAAAUUCACCAUAUUUUGUGUUACAUUCUCAUUGGCUAGAACCUCAACCACACGGAGCGCCCGUGCACACCAUAGGAUGUAUCGCGAUCGAACGACAAUCCACAUCUCUCCUAUCACACCUAUAUACUGUAGUUGGGAUUUUACUUAGUAGAUGCACUAAAUUAGUGACAAAGGAAUUUUGGAUUCCGAUCCGCUUUAAUCUUGGUAAAAUUAAUGACAUUAAUCACACACCAUUUGUGCUUACGUACCAUUUCCUAUGCUGCCAUUUUUGGGACAUAAAACCCUUACCCACACGUUAAAGAAGAAAAAGAAAAUCCUGACCCCCUCCCCCUCCUCUCGUCCUCACUCGCACUGUAGUAUAGUUGCUCGUUCUCAACCCAAGUCCUCCCAAAUCUUUAUGCGUCACAAUGCCUCUUGUAGCCGGCUUCCACCGACAAUUGCCACCGCACUUUGUUUCUUCCCCUCGCUCACGCCUGUUAGAACCGACUUUCUAGAUGCUGCUCGAUUGGGGUUUUCUACGGUAUUUUCUUCGGGAUUGGGACGGGGUAUUCUCUAUGGAGAACCAGGUAAUUAAUUUUGUGAAAUAUUUGAUCAUCUCUUAUCACAGUUCAUUUGUCCCUGUCAAUCACCCAAUAGAAAUGCAUGUGGAUUAUUUUUUCUUGUAGCUGAUUCAAGGGUUUUCAUUCAUAGUGUACAUAGUGCAAGUAUAAAUUCAUAAAGUCUGGUGGUGGUGUCCAUACAGACAAGAAGUUCUAUCUCACCAUACCAGAUGACUCUAGGGGGCGCACGGUAUGUUCCGUCUCACCCAACAAUUAUUGACAUGGCCUAAUAUUAUGAACAUAUACUAUACAUUGCUAAAUUUAGAUAAAUGUUCCACAUGCAACAUAAACGUCAAAGAGGAUUUUUUUCGAAGUCAGGGAAAUAUGCUAUUCUUACAAUUACUCUUAUAUUUGCAUGCCAUCUUGGUUACUUUAUUUGUUUAAUUACAUACUUUUAUACUUUGUCUUCACAUAUUAUUUUGUUCUCUCAGUUGCUCCCAUAUUUACUUGUUGCUCUGUUAUUUCAAUCUAUAUAGCAAUCUUAUCAUUUCCUACAGUACAUCCAUUUCUUUGCAAGAACAUGUGUACAAGGAAAUCUUGGCCUUUACUUAGUUGACUCUAGUGAUGUCAUAUUAACCACGAACGAUGGAUGUAGAGUGAAAGUACAAGUCAGAAUUGAUAAAUACGGUGUCCCCUAUUUUUACGCAUGCCUUUGGAAAUAAUUAUCUAAGUUUUAUAAACUUAAAGUUGACAAUAAAAUUCUAGUGCAUACACCAAAGCUUGGUCUUAACAUGCAUGUUUACGUCCCCUACGACACCUUCUGACCAAAAUCUGAUCCAGCUUGGUAUUCUUUCACCUUUCUGCAUGUUGACAUAUUACUUAGCAAAAUUAGAGUAAUUGUUCUAUCUAACAUCACUAUGUAAGCAAUCAAGGGUAUUCAAUUUCUAUCUUUGUUCCUAGCGAGUAACAACUUCUAAUUACCAUUUUACAUUCACUAUUCUUUUGCCUUGUUCUGAGUAAAUAAUCACUUUCCACCUUUUAAGUAGGACAUGUUGGAUGCAUAGGUAAAAAAUUGUAUGUUACUCGCCAUACCAAAUUUCACUAGAAAGACUUAGAGCACGUAAUAAAUUUCGUUGAUAAACUAACAAACCUAGCACAAUUUUGAAUGUUGAACUUGGGAUGGGAAUAAAUCUGCCACUGGUGCACAUAUUGAACAAGACCAAUUGUGUGAAUAAAAUGCUAGUACAAAAGUCUUAUUUUUAUGUUAUUGUUCAUAAAAUAUAUAUCUUCAAUGAUAUGUUAUAGCUGGCUUUUAUUCAUCACUACAACAGAAAUUUCCCAUUGCAGUUGUUCCUAAAAUUAUUUCUGAACAUGGUCCAAUCACACUUGUAUCUGUUGGGAACGCCAAAGUGAUUCAUGGUACUGCAUUUCCCUCACAAAUGAACCAUUCGAACUAAUAGAUUCUCAAUUGUGCUUGCAAUGCAUCCACAUUUGAAAAUUGGAGACACUAUAAACUCAUGCUCUAUGAAGGCACUCGAGGGAUCUUCCUUUCCAGUGAUGUGAUGGCAAAAUGUUGUGAUCAAGCUACUUCCAGCGGAUAGUUGUGGUUGCUGUCCCUCUCCUUCAUAAAAUGUGCUAGUUGUUACUAUCUUAAGUAUGCAGAUAUGAACCAUAUGGUUUUCAAAAUUGUUAAUUUGGAUUUGUUGAGUGUUGUGUUAACCUAGGUCCACCAUUUGUGUAAUAGUGUCAAUUAACUAACCACUAAAUGUUACUCAAAUGUUGUUUGUUAAUUUCUUAAACUUUCAUGGAAAGUAUUAGUAUUGCAUGCAGUCUAUUCAGUUUAAGCGUGUGUCGGUUAGAGUAGAGGAUGUACAUGGGUUUCCAGGUGGCUAUCAAUGUCGAUUUACAAAAGGCUUUCUCAUAUUAAUUGUUCAUAUUCCAAAAUGAGAUAAUAUUUAUAUAUAGGAAGGAUAUCACAUAGAGUUGACAUAUUUGGCAUGCAUGAACAAAUCAAGUGAGCAUUUAUAUGCUCAAAUUGGUCGGGUGCCUAGUUAGAGGUGUCGGGACCCCGAUCCUAAGCCAUAGGAAUCCAGCCUGUAACACAUUGCAUCUCUUUGCGGUCUCACGCACGGUUAUCCCCACGGCUGCAGCCUUACCUUAGCCGGGACCGCUUGCGACUUUUGACUCACGUAUGCAAUUGCGUCGCUAGCAAUCCAAUGACAAAGAACCCGGAUCGACAUGUCUAGUCAUAAACCAAAGUGGCAGUUCCGCACAGGGACAUGCAUACAUGACCCAACAAAGCAGGUGUCGGUCACCGACAAAUGUAGAUGAGUCGUAGCAAGCUACAAGGACUCCAUUACAUCGCGUGACAUUUCCCCAUCGGGGACAGACACAACAGGUAAGAAGGACACAUGCCGGUCAACCAAUGUGUCCGGAGCAGUAGCGAACUACCAUGGCUCAUUGGAUCACAAAGGGGCAUUUCCCUGUAAGGAAUGCUACUAAAGCCUACAACUAGAUAAUCGAGCCCCAUACAUAUCAGUACGACACACGUACACAUGGCAUACCGAUAUGUAUAGAUACAUCGAUGGCAUCACAACAUAACCAUAAACGUACAAGCUUUAUUUAAAAGGCUCGGAAGAGCCACACACAUAAUAUUACACAGUAGGGGUCUCAUGACCCAUCAUAGCAGUCAUUCAAGUUACAAGCCAACAGUAGUAGAUAAACUGCCUGAGUACAGACAGAUGAAACUAGAAGGCACAUGGCCUGACUAUACUACAGACCCACCCUAGGGCCAGAUCAUAGCUGGGAUACCAGCUACUCGUCGUCGUUGAUGUCUAGGAAGAACCCUCCAUUAGGGUCAUUAACAACCUCUGCAACAAUAUUAAGCAAACAUGAGUACUGAGGUACUCAGCAAUACUUUAGGAUAACUAUCUACUCAUGCAAUGUAUCAAUAAGGAAUUGGGGGGUUUCAUGCGGAAAGCCAGCAUUUGACUCGUGGCUAGACAACUUGCAUUUUUAAAUAAUUUUUGACAACUUGAUUUCUCACACACGAGUCCACUAACACCACAACAAUACUCCAUCGUGGAAUCAAUCCAUCUCUAUACAGAAAUGCCGUCCACGACACUCACGCUUAUCUUGACAAUUUUAUGAGUAGCCAUUAAAGUUAUCUAUGAACAACAUAUGUCUCCAAGUAGUCCAUAUCCGCGGACGCGGCUAUUCGAAUAGAUCAUAACCCUGCAAGGGUUGACUUCUUCACACACGCUCUCGCCACUUAUCGCCAUGUGCACGUCAUGCACCUCGGCAACCUUCAAGCGGAAGCCCAGCGAGGGAGUCGGCCACGACCGUUAACCGCGCUAAUACUUAGUCCAGGUCUAUCGCCUAUUUGAGGGUAACCCGCACGGAAGUACGGCCGAGGUUUCCACCACGGCCCCAAAUGAUGUGCGCAGGGUUCGCAAGCCCACCAUCCGGGUGCCACUUGGUACACCAUGCCACUGCCUACCGCAUCACAACCCACCUCUUAGGUCAGCGCUAUGCACGGCCUCCAGCAUGACGAUAAACACAGAAACUACUUGCAACUCCUGGACCGAGUACUAGGCGAUUAAUAAGUCGAGCGGGGUCAUAUUUCAGGGACCACCAUGUGGUAGUAUCUCGUCUUGGAUUACAUACACGGAACUCAGUUCCUAAGGACGGUUCCAAUGAAACAACCCGCCAUGUACGCCUACAUAACCUUUCACCGGUACCUUUACCAAAUCAGGUUCAACACACAACCUUUACUUACUGAACACAUUCUCACAAUUCUAUUCAUCUCCCAGAUGACAUACCAUACACAACUGUAAGCAUAGCAUGCAUAGCAGGAUAACGCACAUCAUGGCUCAAGCAUCUACCAGGUAUGCUAGGUUGCAAGGUUUAGCUAUUUACUGUGACAAAGACAGGUCAUGCAAAGGAAGUGGGUUCAACUAACAUGGCAAAGGCAUUUGAAGCAUUUGAUCCUAAUGCAAUAAGUAAGUGCAGGAGCGAGAACAUGGGAUUUAUCGGGAUGAUCAAAAUGGUUGUUUGCCUUGUUGCUCAGAAGAGGGACAAUAUCCGUCAGUCGGAUAUUCGGUGGAAUCCGGAGGAGUGGAGCCUACCGAAAGAAAAGAAAACAAUCAAUAACAAUCAUAUGCAACAAAAUGAUGCAUGAGCAUGGCAUGAAGAUGCAAGGUGGUAUGCUAAUGUAGCUAUCAUUUAUUAAGUUUGAAGUUGAUUUGAAUCAGAUUCAAAUAUCACUUCAAACGAGGUAUUCUCGAAUACCAUUUUAAUUGAUUCGACCUAAUGCUCAGAUCAAUUUGUUUUUAACAUGCAUGGGAAUGAUAUGUUAAGUUGCUGGUUGUGAUUGAACAAUGUUUGAUCAUAGAAUUUGAAGGGGAAUUCAAAUGAUUUUCAAAUUCCAACUGCAAAGCAUUUAUUUAAUUUAACCUACUCAUUAUUCUACAUGUUUGGUCCAGUAACAUUCUCAAACAUGUUUGAAAACGACAUAUUCAAAUUCCUUGGAUUUUUAUGAUACUUUUUCAUAUAUAAAUUAUUUUCAUUGGAGUUACAGAUUAAUUUCUAUUAUUUUUAGAAGUUUUGGGCGUUUUUCUUGAAUUCUUUUAAAUCAGAAAAUCCACUUAUUGCGUCAGGCCUACGUCAUCAUGGCGUCAGCCGUCGGCUGACCUGAUCAGGUCAAACCCGACACGGGGGACCCACUGGUCAGCCUCACAGGGAUAAUCCCGCGCUGACCAGACCCUGAUUGCGUUUGACUUAGGCCUGGGCCCAUUGGUCAGUGUCUGCUUAACAUUUUAAACAUGGAUUAGCGAGGCCAGGUCAUCCCCUGCCGGAGACUGACCGGCGGCGACCAGAUCUGCGGCGGAUCUUUGCCGGAGAGUCGCCGGAGAUGGCUGUAGUGCUCGGGAUUGAGAGCCGAGAGCACUGGGAGGAUCCCCAGGCUCGGCCUCAUCCAGUACUGGUCUCAGGGAGGACUGGGGAGGACCGGAGGUCACCAGCAACGAGCUGAGGCGACGGCCGGAGUUCGGGCUCGUCGGUACAGUGGCUAGGGGGCCCGGAACCGAGGGGAAGAAGAGGGAAAACGAGCGCAAGCUCACGGGGAGUGCAGUGGAAGGCUUAGACGGCUCGGGGAGGCGCCAUGGCGACGAAUCGAACGAAGCUGGCCGGCGGCCGAAGCUUGAAGACGACGGUGCCGUGGGCGUUGCAGGGCUCGGGGGAUCUUCUGCAUCUGCAAGGAUAACCAUCUCGUCGAGGCGAAGCGAAUGGAGCACUCGGGGGGAGAUCAUGUGGCUAGAGGCACGGGCAGCUCGAGCUCGAGCUCCUGUCAAUGGCGGCAGAGGGGAACCGAGCAACCGAGAGGAGAGGGGAGGAAUGGGUCGCGGGGAUGGAUAGGGCCGUGCUCGGGGAGGUUAUCCCCGUCUUGCCAGCGCACCGGGACGUCCAGGCAAGCAUGGAGCUGCGUGGAGGCACCGGGCGUCGUGGCGGCCACCUCCUCCUACCUACUGGCGAGGAGGAAGAUGACAGGGGAGCUGGGCCUGGGCCAGGUAAGCGACAGGUAGGUGUUUUGCCUUUUUUUCUUGUUUUGUUUUCUGAUUUGCUAACUAUUUUGAUUUGCUAUUUAUUUCAGCUCCAAAAUAGUUUAUAAAAUUAUUUUGAACACACCAGAAUAUUAGUUGGAAUAUAUCCAUCCAUUCCUGAAGUUUUCAACAUUUUUGAAAACUUCAAGUUUUUGAAUUCAAAUUUAAACUUGAAUUCAGUGGCUUUUUUAUUCAGAUAAAAUGCCAAAUGUGUUAUGAAAAUAGUUUUCUUCAGUGCUUAUUUGCUUUCAAGAAUUAUCAGAAAAGUUGAACUUUUCUUGAGGCCAUUUUGGGUUCAUUGAUUUUAACUAGUUGAAAUUUCCUUUAAAUUGAGAAGUGGCUAGGUUUUUUGAGUUUUGCUUCACCACUUGCUUUGAUCUUGUUGCAAUUUUCUUGGAUGCAAUGCAAAGAAGAUAUGAGCACAAUGCUAUACUUUGGUUAGGGUUCCAGGGAUGUGACAACUCACCCCCACUCAAAAGAAUCUCGUCCUGAGAUUUAGAAGUCGUCGGGAAUAACGCGGGAUACUCAAGUCGGAGACGAUCCUCUCUUUCCCAUGUUGCCUCCUUUUCAGAAUGAUUCGACCAUUGAACUUUAAGAAACUUGAGGUUUCGACGUUGAGUGGUAUGCUCAGCUUGAUCAAGAAUAUGCACAGGGUAUUCUCGGUAUGAAAGGUUAUCUUGGAGAUCAAGCGUUUUGUGGUCCACUUCACGGAUAGGAUCCGAAAAGCAACGCCUAAGUUGCGAGACGUAGAAGACAUCAUGAACCUUGGAAAGAUGCGGAGGAAGUUCCAACUGGUAGGCAACUUCUCCUCAUUUGGCAAGAAUGCGAAAAGGACCAAUAUAACGAGGAGCCAACUUGCCCUUGAUACCGAAUCGAUGGGUACCCUUCAAAGGUGUAACCCGAAGGUAAGCCUUCUCGUCAACUUCAAAGGUCACAACCUUAUGAUGACGAUCAUAUUGGCUCUUUUGACGAGACUGGGCUGUUUUCAACUUUUCACGAAUAAUGCGAACCUGCUCUUCUGCAUCCUGGAUCAUAUCCGGGCGAAAGAGUUGCCUCUCUCCGGUUUCUGACCAGUUAAGAGGUGUUCGACAUCUUCGUCCAUAGAGAACUUCAAAAGGGACUUUGCCCAAGCUUGAUUGAUAACUAUUGUUAUAAGCAAAUUCGGCGAAUGGAAGGCACUUCUCCCAAAUCAUACCGAACGAUAUAACACAAGCUCAGAGCAUAUCUUCUAGGAUUUGAUUCACUCUUUCUACUUGACCACUUGACUGAGGAUGGAAAGCAGUGCUAAAAGAUAAGUGAGUCCCCAUAGCAUUCUGAAAACAUUCCCAGAAGUGAGAAGUAAAGAUACUCCCACGGUCUGAGUUAAUCUCCAGGGGAACACCAUGAAGAGACACUAUCGGAGAGAUAUAUAACUCUGCUAGCUGGCUAGCUGUUAUACUCUCACGAACUGGAAGAAAAUGAGCUACUUUGGGGAGACGGUCAAUGACCACAAAGAUAGCAUUAUUUCCUUUCUUGGUCUUGGGAAAUCCGGUAAUGAAAUCCAUACUGACUUUAUCCCAUUUCCAUUCAGGAAUAGCUAAAGGUUGAAGGGUGCCAGUAGGCCUUUGAUGUUCUGCCUUAACUCGACGACAAACGUCGCACUUAGCAACGAACUCAGCAAUUUCUCUCUUCAUCCUAGUCCACCAAAACCUCUAGCGUAGGUCCCGAUACAUCUUAGUACUACCAGGAUGAAUGGUGAGAGGAGAAUCAUGAGCCUCCUUAAGGAUUAACUGCCUUAGAUGUGGAUUCUUAGGAACCACUAGACGAUUCUGGAAGAACACAACACCUUGAUCAUUCAUGGAGAAUUCAUUGGCGUUUCCGCUAAUAAUAUUCUCCUUGAUUCGUGAUAUACCCUUAUCACGCCUUUGGCCAGCUAUAAUUUGAUCCUUAAGGGUAGGCUUCGCCACCAGGGUAGAAAGGAAUCCUUGAGGAACAAUAUGAAGAUUUAACUUCCGAAAUUCCUCAUAGAUAUGUGGUUGACCUCGUUGUAGCAUCAGCUUGUUACAAUAAGAUUUACGACUUCGUGCAUCAGCCAUAACAUUGGCCUUCCCCGGGGUGUAAGUUAUUCCUAAGUCGUAAUCCGAGAUCAACUCAACCCACCGUCUUUGCCUGAGAUUCAAAUCCGGCUGGGUGAAGAUAUAUUUCAGACUUUGGUGAUCAGUGAAUAUUUCGCAACGAUUACCCAGAAGGUAAUGUCGCUAGGUUUUAAGUGCAUGGACUACAGCUGCAAGCUCAAGAUCAUGUGUGGGAUAAUUAUCCUCAUGUGGACGCAACUGUCGAGAUGCGUAUGCAAUCACAUGACGAUCUUGCAUGAGAAUGCAACCUAAUCCUUGUCGUGAGGCAUCGCAAUAGAUAACAAAGUCCUUAGAAAAAUCUGGUGGUAGCAACACAGGUGCGGAAGUCAGGCGUCUUUUCAAUUCCUGGAAACUAUGCUCACACUGUGGUGUCCAUUCGAACUUUUUAUCUUUCUUGAGGAGUUCAGUUAGAGGCUUUGCAACCUUGGAGAAAUUCUCGACAAAGCGGCGACAAUAGCUCGCUAGACCAAGAAAACUCCUAACUUGCUUAACCGAUUCAGGUUGAGUCCAAUCAAGGACAGCUUGAACUCUCUCGGGAUUGACAGCAAUACCCUUACCAGAGAUUACAUGACCUAGAUAGGUCUCUUCUAGUAACCAAAAUUCACAUUUUGAAAACUUGGCAUAAAGGCGAUGCUCUCAAAGUUUCAUCAAUACCAGCCUUAAAUGCUCGGCAUGUUCUUGUUCGUUCUUCGAGUAGAUGAGAAUAUCAUCGAGGUAUACCACGACGAAUUUAUCAAAGUACUCCAUGAAGAUUGAAUUCAUCAAGCAAGAGAAGGUGGCUGGGGCAUUGGUUAAACCGAAGGACAUGAAGGUGUACUCGUAUUGGCCAUAACGAGUGACAAAAGCCGUUUUUGGAAUGUCCCCGUUCUUGAUCUUGAUUUGAUGGUAUCCCAACCUCAAAUCCAUUUUUGAGAAGACUGAGGAUCCAGUGAGCUGAUCAUACAGGUCGUUGAUCCUGGGGAGCGGAUACUUGUUCUUUAUGGUGACCAGAUUAACUGGUCGGUAAUCUACAACCAUCCGAUCCGUUCCAUAUUUCUUCUUGACGAAGAGGACGGGACAAGCCCAGGGAGAAGAGCUAGGACGAAUGAAACCUUUAUUCAAAGCCUCAUCUAGUUGCUUCUUAAGUUUGGCUAGCUCCAGGGGUGCCAUCUUAUAUGGUCUUCUGGCUAUUGGAACGGUUCCCAGAACAAGAUCUAUCACGAACUCUACAUCUCUGUCAGGUGGAAUUCCUGGCAGUUCCUCUAGAAAAACAUCCGGAAAGUCACAGACUACCGGAAUGUCUUCAAGUUCUGGAAGAGGGUUGGCAUUGAGGGAAUAGAGUUGGCAUUUGGCAACUCGAGUAGAGACAUUGACUAUCUCACCCGAGGGAUGGGUAAGCUGAACAUUUCUAGAAUGAGUAUCAAUCUUGGCAUAGUGAGGUGACAUCCAGUCCAUACCCAAGAUGAUAUUAAUAUCCGAAGAUUUCAGGGCUAUCAAUGAGGCUAGAAAAACUAGCUUGUCUACUAGAAUUUCAUUGUCAUAGGUUAUCCUAGAGGUUUGCCACUUACUACCAGGAGUUUGGACAACCAAUGGAAUUGGCAUAUCACAGAAAGACAUGUUAUGCAACUGUGCAUAACUUUCUGAAAUGAAGGAAUGAGAAGACCCGGUGUCAAAAAGAAGAAACGCUGGGUGAUGAUUAACAAGGAGCGUACCCAGUAUGACGUCGGGAUCCUCUGCAGCUUCUUAUGCUGAAACAUAGUUCACACGACCACGUGCAGGAGUUGGCUUCACAUAGUAAGCUUUGCCCGAAUUGCCUUGCCCGACGAACUUUCCAGGUUGCUUGGCACCCACAUUCUGAGGACACUCACGGGAAUAGUGCCCUGGUUCUCCACACUUAUAACAUAUCACUUGGUUGGCACGCGGCGCAACAUUGCUAGCUAGACCACCAUAGGUUUUUGCUGGGGGGUUGGACUGAUUCGUCUGAGGCACCACAUAGGAUGGCCUCGGAGUGUAUCUUGGCAGCAGAGAACUGUUUGGAACCCACGACCUGCAUUUUGGAAACGCGGAACCGGAUGGCGAGCUAAAGUCACGGGAGUGCUUCUUUGUGGCUUCAUAGUCGGUAUGACCAGUCUCGGCACUGAUCGCCUUGUUGACUAGGGCUUCGAAGCUUGUACACUCGUGGAGGCGCAAAUCACGACGAAGCUCAGGGCUCAGACCCUUAUCGAAUCUUGCUUGCUUCUUGGCAUCAGUAGACACCUCCUCUGUUGCAUAGCGGGCGAGGUUACCGAACUCGCGUCUAUAGGCAUCCAUGGUCAACUUGCCCUGGGUGAAUGCACAGAAUUCCUCUCUCUUUCUGUCCAUCAGGCCCUCUGGAAUAUGGUGCAGACGGAAGGUUGCACUAAAGUCUGCCCAUGUGGCUCCUGGUUCAGCAGGACACAUAGCUUCAAUGUUCUCCCACCACAGAUUGGCGGGUCCCUCCAGAAAAUACGCCGCAAAGGUCACCUUGUCGGCCUCAGAAACAUUCCCAGAGAAAAUCUUACGUGAAAUACUGCACAACCAAUCAUCAGCAUCGAGGGGAUCAACAGAGUGAUGGAACUUUGGAGGAUUCAGCUUCACAAAGUCAUUGAGGGACACUGCAGCAUUCCUAGGCUGACGAGCCGUAUUUUGCUCAAUACGCUCUAACAGUCGGUUAGUCUCCCUUUUGUUUCUCUCUGCCUCAAGCAUAAGUUCCUCUAGAGAGGGCGGGUGAGGCAGGUCUUCCUGCGACACUUGACUACCCUCGCCUUGCUCAUGAGCAGGGGCACGGUUCAACCUGGUGAACACCAUCCUGACAAACAAACUCACAACUUAGACCAAUAUCAACAUCAAUACUAGCUAUGGAUUAAGAAUGCACUGAACACAUGGAAUGCGGAAAUGAAUAUUCGAACAACAUGGUAACAAGCAACUGCUAUAUAUACACCAUGGUUCAUACACACCAUUACAUAGUUCAGUACAACCUUAACCGAAGAGCAAACUACUAAAAUUAUGAAACUACUCAUCAGAGGCUUACAAGCUUCCUAUACAUUAUUUAUCUAUGCCUCCGGAAUUCAUUUCACGUCACAAGCAUACUUCACAAGUCACACAGGACUGUGAAAGUACAACUACUACCAUACUAUCCUUCCACUCACGGUUCAGGCAUCCACAUAGAACAUCUCAUAAAGGUUGCCUCCAUGGCCUGGUAGCUCAACCUGCGGAUCAGGAAAUACUCUGGCCUGAGAUCCCUGGGAUCCAUAAGGACACGGAUGUGGCCUUGGUCCCCUGACUGGUGGUAGUAGGGGUCCCCGAAGAGGGGUGACUCCUCCUAUAGCGGGCCAGUCAACAUGAGCCAGAAGAUGGGUUCUAACAGGGUUCAUCAUCUCCAUAUCUCCAUACCCUGUCUGGACUACCGGUGCCAGCUGCGUCAAAGCCGUCCACAUACGGGCACGUGUAGCAUAAAGCUCCAUGCAGACGGCACGAGCAUCCCUGUCUCUAUUCUCUAGCAUCUCAGCAGUGGACUGCAGCAGUGGAUCCUCCAUAGAGGAAUCAAAAUAGACCCCGCUAAGGUAUCCUUCUUCACCUGGCUGAGAGGCAGGAACAUAGCAGAACUCUGAAUUCUGCAGCAGUGCAUGUCUUGCCCUCAUAAUGGUCAGCAUUGAAUAGGCAGCAUCUUGUACUGCCAUGUCAACAGUGACUCCCAAUCCAUAAGACCAAUGGAUUGGCUCCUCGGCUCCAGGGUAGUCUGGAAAUACCCUAACAGUGCAGAUAUACUUGCUCUGGUUGAAGUCUCGGCACUGUUCCUCCACUGUGUACUCUGGGUACCAGCGGUAACCGCACACCGACAUCACCUUGACCAGGAUGGCCGUAUGACCCGGCAAAUCAGUGCACCUCGUCAGACGAACCACCUGACGAGAAGGACGGCCAGGCAUCUGAAAAUAGAGAGUAAUGCAAAAACAUUAGAGCUCUAAAUGCAAAAAUUGGGCAGCAUAACGGCUGUAAAUGCUCAAAAACAAUUUUGAGACAACCCAGAAAAUAGAAUAGCAUAACCACUCAGCUAUCAAGUUCAAUUAUCUAAUCAUCAAACUUACUUCCUUUUCCUAGGGAUAAAAGAAACCCAAAAUAUCUCUCGACCCAUACUCUUAUAAUCUACCGAUCAGAAACACGAGCCUAGAAGAAAAUGAGUAACCUAGUCCUUAAUUCCCGCAGAAAAGACGAGGAUGACCAAAAUAGAAUAACUUGAGAAGAGAACAAGAGUCUUACGUUCCCUUCCACAAACAAUUCCCUUAUAUAUAACUAAAGCAAUUCUAGACUCAACUUCGACCAUUUUGGCUUAGUAGUCCUACAGUCAGUCAGGCUCAGAUACCAACGCUGUCGGGACCCCGAUCCUAAGCCAUAGGAAUCCAGCCUAUAACACAUCGCAUCUCUUUGCGGUCUCACGCACGGUUAUCCCCACGGCUGCAGCCUUACCUUAGCCGGGACCGUUUGCGCCUUUUGACUCGCGUAUGCAAUUGUGUCGCUAGCAAUCCAAUGACAAAGAACCCGGAUCGACAUGUCUAGUCAUAAACCAAAGUGGCAGCUCCGCACAGGGACAUGCAUACAUGACCCAACAAAGCAAGUGUCGGUCACCAACGAAUGUAGACGAGUCGUAGCAAGCUACAAGGACUCCAUUACAUCGCGUGACAUUUUCCCAUCGGGGACAGACACAACAGCUAAGAAGGACACAUGCCGGUCAACCAAUGUGUCCGGAGCAGUAGUGAACUACCAUGGCUCGUUGGAUCACAAAGGGGCAUUUCCCUGUAAGGAAUGCUACUAAAGCCUAUGACUAGGUAAUCGAACCCCAUACAUAUCAGUACGACACACGUACGCAUGGCAUACCAAUAUGUAUAGUUACAUCGAUGGCAUCACAACAUAGCCAUAAACAUACAAGCUUUAUUUAAAAGGCUCGAAAGAGCCACACACAUAAUAUUACACAGUAGGGGUCUCACGACCCAUCACAGCAGUCAUUCAAGUUACAAGCCAGCGGAAGUAGAUAAACUGUCUGAGUACAAACAUAUGAAACUAGAAGGCACAUGGCAUGACUAUACUACAGACCCACCCUAGGGCCAGAUCAUAGCUGGGAUACCAGCUACUCGCCGUCAUCAAUGUCUAGGAAGAACCCUCCAUUAGGGUCAUUAACAAGCUCUGCAACAAUAUUAAGCAAACAUGAGUACUGAGGUACUCAGCAAGACUUUAGGAACUAUCUACUCAUGCAAUGUAUCAAUGAGGAAUUGUGGGGUUUCAUGCGGAAAGCCAGCAUUUGACUCGUGGCUAGACAACUUGCCUUUUUAAAUAAUUUUUGACAACUUGAUUUCUCGCACACGAGUCCACUAACACCACAACAAUACUCCAUCGUGGAAUCAUUCCGUCUCCAUACGGAAAUGUCGUCCAUGACACUCACGCUUAUCUUGACAAUUUUAUGAGUAGCCAUUAAAGUUAUCUAUAAACAACAUAUGUCUCCAAGUAGUCCAUAUCCACGGACACGUCUAUUCGAAUAGAUCAUAACCCUACAGGGGUGUACUUCUUCACACACGCUCCCGCCAGUUAUCGCCAUGUGCACGUCAUGCACCUCGGCAACCUUCAAGCGGAAGCCCAGUGAGGGAGUCGGCCACGACCGUUAACCGCGCUAAUACUUAGUCCAGGUCUAUCGCCUAUCUGAGGGUAACCCGCACGGAAGUCCGGCCGAGGUUUCCGCCACGGCCCCAAACGAUGUGCGCUAGGUUCCCAAGCCCACCAUCCGGGUGCCACUUGGUACAUCGUGCCACUGCCUACCGCAUCACAGCCCACCUCUUAGGUCAGCGCUAUGCACGGCCUUCAGCAUGACUAUAAACACCAGAAACUACUUACAACUCCUGGACCGAGUACUAGGCGAUUAAUAAGUCGAGCGGGGUCAUAUUUCACGGCCCACCAUGUGGUAGUAUCUCGUCUUGGAUUACAUACACGAAACUCAGUUCCUAAGGACGGUUCCAAUGAAACAACCCGCCAUGUACUCCUACAUAGCCUUUCACCGGUACCUUUACCAAAUCAGGUUCAACACACAACCUUUACUUACUGAACACAUUCUCACAAUUCUGUUCAUCUCCAAGAUGAUAGACCAUACACAACUCUAAGCAUAGCAUGCAUAGCAGGAUAAGGCACAUCAUGGCUCAAGCAUCUACCAGGUAUGCUAGGUUGCAAGGUUUAGCUAUUUACUGUGACAAAGACAGGCCAUGCAAAGGAAGUGGAUUCAACUAACGUGGCAAAGGCAUUUGAAGCAUUUGAUCCUAAUGCAAUAAGUAAGUGCAGGAGCGAGAACAUGGGAUUUAUCGGGAUGAUCAAAAUGGUUUCUUGCCUUGUUGCUCAGAAGAGGGACAAUAUCCGUCAGUCGGAUAUUCGGUGGAAUCCAGAGGACCGGAGCCUACCGAAAGAAAAGACAACAAUCAAUAACAAUCAUAUGCACCAAAAUGAUGCAUGAGCAUGGGAUGAAUAUGCAAGGUGGUAUGCUAANAAUGGCGGCAGAGGGGAACUGAGCAACCGAGAGGAGAGGGGAGGAAUGGGUCACGGGGAUGGAUAGGGCCAUGCUCGGGGAGGUUAUCCCCAUCUUGCCAACGCACCGGGACGUCCAGGCAAGCAGGGAGCUGCGUGGAGGCGCGGGGCAUCGCGGCGGCCACCUCUUGCUGCCUACUGGCGAGGAGGAAGACGACAGGGGAGCUGGGCCUGGGCCAGGUAAGCGACACGUGUGUGUUUUGCCUUUUUUUCUUGUUUUCUUUUCUGAUUUGCUAGCUAUUUUGAUUUGCUAUUUAUUUCAGCUCCAAAAUAGUUUAUAAAAUUAUUUUAAACACAACAGAAUAUUAGUUGGAAUAUAUCCAACCAUUCCUGAAGUUUGCAACAUUUUUGAAAACUUCAAGUUUUUGAAUUCAAAUUUAAACUUGAAUUCAGUGGCUUUUUGUAUUUAGAUAAAAUGCCAAAUGUGUUAUGAAAAUAGUUUUCUUCACUGCUUAUUUGCUUUCAAGAAUUAUGAGAAAAGUUGAACUUUUCUUGAGUCCAUUUUGGGUUCAUUGAUUUUAACUAGUUUGAAAUUUCCUUUAAAUUGAGAAGUGGCUAGGUUUUUUGAGUUUUGCUUCACCACUUGCUUUGAUCUUGUUGCAAUUUUUUUGGAUGCAAUGCAAAGAAGAUAUGAGCACAAUGCUAUACUUUGGUUAGGGUUCCAGGGAUGUGACAAGAGGACUAAUUUACAAUCCAUUAGCUUACCAAUUUACAUCAGUGGGAUAUAUAUGAACCAUGCAUGCAUAAAAGAUAUACCGCCCCUAACUUCGACCAAGCAUGCACAACUGCCAUCGUCCAUCGCGUCGAUCCUUGGCUUGGGAUUGAAUAAGAUCCUUCAAGUAAGUUAACAUCAGUGCAAAAAGAAAUAAAAAUUGCUCCUAAAUAUGUAUGAUUUUUUUAUUGGAAGGGAAAAUAAGCUCUGUACGAACUUAUGGUGGUGAAGAAAUAUAAGCGAUGGACUCCAUAAAUUUUUUUGCUAUCACAAGGGGCGAUAUAAAGUGAUGUUCCUUUCCAUUAAGUGUUUGCACAUCCAAAAAUAAAAAAUGCAUGGCAACCUCUACUUCCCUCAGCAAAGGACAUAUCUUUUACUUUUCUGUAUUUACUUUUAUGCGAGAGCCAAUAAUGUUCAUCCCUCUUCCAAUCUAUUAAUUCUUUUGUUGUCAAGCACCACGUGGUGGAAAAUAUCGAGGCACAUAUCAAGUUGGAUAAAUGUGAUCAUGAUUCGUUAUUGUUGACAUUAUCCCUGAGAUAAAUUAGUUGGGGAGAAAAACAUUAAGCCCCUAUUUUCCUAUGUAUUUGACUGAAACUAUUUGUUCAAAAAAUAUACUUUGAGGGUCAGGAAUCAUGGAAGACUAAAUGAUACUUGAGUGCGUGGAAUUUGCUAAAUCAAAGAUCUUACAUAGACCCUUCCUGAAAAUAAGGUGAAGUGUAAUUGUUUGAUGACUGAGAACAUAGUUUGUUGGUUUUCAAGAAACUUUAUGGUCUGUACUUUAACAUGUGAAAAGCUUGCUAUUUCAUUAUGAGAAGUUGGAUGAGAAAAUAGUUGAUGUUUCUGAUGCUAGAAAAAGUGAUUUAAAUUAUCAUCGAUGAAACUUUUAUGCUAUGGUAGCAUUCGCACUUCAUAAAUUACAUAUUUUAUCAUUUACCUACCCGAGGACGAGUAGGAAUUAAGGUUGGGGAUGCUAAUAUGUCUCCAACAUAUCAAUACUUUAUGAAGUAUUCAUGCCCUAUUUACCUUUGUUUACAAUACUUUUAUAUGGUUUUGAUGCACUUUGUAUGAUUUAAUUGGAACUAAGCCGGACUGACGUGGUUUCCAGCAGAAUUAUCGUGGUGUUGUUUUUGUGCAAAUAAAGUUCCUGGAAUCGCCCGAAACUUUUUGACGAUUUUUUCUGGAACAAAUAAGAAAUACUGGAGCGAAGAACCAUCAGAGGGGGCCCAGCAGGUGCGCCCAAGACGACAGGGCACGCCUAGGGGGGUGGCCACGGCCGGAUGUCUUGGGACCACCUUGUGGCUCCGUUUGACGUGAUUCCAACGCUGAAAAAUCAUAUAUAUUGGGAAACCCCUAAAAGUUAACCAAGAACUUCCGCUCCACCACCACAAGACUCUGUACCAAACAAAACUCAUACGGAGCCUUCUUCUGGCACCGUGUCGGAGGGGACAAUCAUUAUCGGAGGCCAUCUUCAUUAUCUUGGCGGUCUCCAUGACAAAGAGUAAGUAGUUCAUCCUCGGGGCCGAGGGAAUGUACCAGAAGCUAUGUGUUUGAUCUCUCUUUCUCAUGUUCUUGAGAUGUCAUGAUCUAUAUGUAUCACCUUCUUUGUGAAUAUAGUUGGAUCAUAUGGUGUUCGUCCCUUGCUAUCUUGAUGUGAUGAAUUGAAUCUUUUCCGUUCAGAUUUUGUUGUUGUUGGCGAACGUUGCAUGGGAAUCAAAAAAAAAAAUCUACGAACACCCAAGAUCUAUCUAUGGAGAUGCAUAGCUGCGAGAGGGGGAGUGCAUCUACAUACCCUUGUAGAUCGCUAAGCGGAAGAAUUAAGAAACGUGGUUGAUAUGUCGUACGUCUUCACGACCGAAUCACGAUCCAUCAUGAUCUAGCACCGAACGGACGUCACCUUCACAUUCAACACACAUGCGGCUCGAUGUCCUCUUCGCCUCCUCGAUCUAAUGAGCGAGGGUGGAGUAGUAGACGUGAUCUCGACUAGAACGACGGCAUGGCGGAAAUGGCGGUGGAGCAGUGCGAGUAGGGCUUGGUACCUCUUGAGCUUGCGUUGGUUUUUCCCUUGAAGAGGAAAGGGUGAUGCAGCACAGUAGCAGUAAGUAUUUCCCUCAGUUUGAGAACCAAGGUAUCAAUCCAGUAGGAGAAUCAAGCCAAGUAUCCAAAGUACGUGUGCAAAAACAACAAACUUGCACCCAACGCUACAAAGGGGUUGUCAAUCCCUUCACGAUUGAUUGCAAGGUGAGAUCUGAAUGUGGAAAGUGCAACAAAGUAAAAGUGUAAGGCUGAAAAUAUGAUGUGAAGUAGACCCGGGGGCCAUAGUGUUCACUAGAGGCUUCUCUCAUGAUAGCAAAUAUUACGGUGGGUGAACGAAUUACUGUCGAGCAAUUGAAAGAACCGCGCAAAGUCAUGACGAUAUCUAAGGCAANNNNNNNNNNNNNNNNNNNNNNNNNNNNNNNNNNNNNNNNNNNNNNNNNNNNNNNNNNNNNNNNNNNNNNNNNNNNNNNNNNNNNNNNNNNNNNNNNNNNNNNNNNNNNNNNNNNNNNNNNNNNNNNNNNNNNNNNNNNNNNNNNNNNNNNNNNNNNNNNNNNNNNNNNNNNNNNNNNNNNNNNNNNNNNNNNNNNNNNNNNNNNNNNNNNNNNNNNNNNNNNNNNNNNNNNNNNNNNNNNNNNNNNNNNNNNNNNNNNNNNNNNNNNNNNNNNNNNNNNNNNNNNNNNNNNNNNNNNNNNNNNNNNNNNNNNNNNNNNNNNNNNNNNNNNNNNNNNNNNNNNNNNNNNNNNNNNNNNNNNNNNNNNNNNNNNNNNNNNNNNNNNNNNNNNNNNNNNNNNNNNNNNNNNNNNNNNNNNNNNNNNNNNNNNNNNNNNNNNNUCUAGUGUAUUGAGUUCAUAACAAACAUAGUAACGCCUUAAGCAAGAUGACAUGAUGUAGAGGGAUAAAUUCAUGCAAUAGAUAUAAACCCCAUCUUUUUACCCUUGAUGGCAACAACACGAUGCGUGCCUUGCUACCCCUUUUGUCACUGGGUGAGGGCACCGCACGACAUGAACCCAAAACCAAGCACUCCUCCCAUUGCAAGAAUUAUAGAUCAAGUUUGCCAAACGAAACCCACAACUCGAAGAGAAUUACAAGGAUAUGAAAUCAUGCAUAUAAGAGAUCAGAAGAAACUCAAAUAAGAUUCAUAGAAAAUCUGAUCAUAAAUCCACAAUUCAUCGGAUCUCGACAAACACACCGCAAAAGAUGAUUACAUCGGAUAGAUCUCCAUGAAGAUCAUGGAGAACUUUGUAUUGAAGAUCCA